rnacentral:lncRNA from 1 species
AAUUUUUUUUUUUUUUUUUACCUAUGUAUCAUUAUCGAAUUCUUCAUCAUAUCUCCAAACGAAUUUACUGAGUAAAAUUUUCUUAAAUUUGCAUGCGAUAUGGCAUCCAGUGCACCAAUUAUAAUUUUAUAGCUAGUUUUAUCCGCUUUUAGUGCAUGUAUUAAUGGAAAAACUCAUAAACAUAGAACACAAAAUCCUUGAAGCUCAUGCAAAACACGAGUUUAGAAGAGUGAGAUCUAAUAGACCAAACCUCACUUGUAUAUAGUGUGAGAAUACGAACCUUCUUAUGUAUAAAAGCUAAAAGAGUUGUUUCGUUAUAUACGUUUAACAUAAAAUGCAUUGAGGGCUAGUUUAGAAUUGCAGGUGUUGAUUAAAAUAAAUUGUUUUUACUGUGCAAAUUUAAUAAAUUGUUAAUUAAAAAAAAUAAUAAACUACUGAUUGAAAAAGCAACUUGAUAUUUAGUAAAUUGUGUUGUUGUGAUUACUAUGAAUUUGAAAAUCCGUGUAUAUGCGUUUAGUAAAUUUAAUAAACCAAACCUCACUUGUAUAUAGAGUGAGAAUACAGACCUUCUUAUGUAUAGACUAAAAGAGCUGUUUCGUUACAUAAAUUUAACAUAAAAUAUAUUAAGGCUAGGGGUGGGAUUGCAGGGGCUGCGUGAAAAGUGUUAAAAAAAUAAAAUAAUAUAAUAUAGCAAUUUAUUGACAUCAUUUAAAAAUAAUAUACUUUUAAAAAUGAAAAUAUGUUAGUUUAUUCAUCUUUUAAUAAAUUUAUUCAUAGUCUAUGAAAUAAUCUAGUCAAAUAAGAUUUAGAUAUACACCAAAAAAGAUAAACAAACAUAAAAAAAAAUCUCUUAAACUUCAAUUUGAUGUCUUUCUAAUAAAUAAGAAUUAUUUAUUAUUGACUUCUAAAAUUAAUUAUUUCUUGUCCCUUAGGUGUAGCUCGACUGACUGUGAAUGUACAUGUGCCCACUAGUUCAAGUUAGAAUAUAAGUAAAUGCUCGUGGUUAAUGGAUAGGGUUUAUCAUCCCACAAACAAUAAAAAGGAAAUAAAAUAUUAUUUGAGAAAUUAAAGAAACAAACUAAAUAAUGAGUUAAUUUUGUCAAGAAUUGUAAAAACAAUAAAUUUAAAAACAAACAGAAAAAUGUAUUUUUGAAUGGAAUAUUAAAUUAGGGAAGAGAAUUAUGAUUUUUACUGCCUAUGAGGAAAGAUAAAUUGUAUUAAAUAUAAUAAAUUUAUAGAAUUUUAGAGAUAUUAAUGACUAAACCAUUUACAAUAAAAGUAGGAUAUAAAAGACUAAAUAGAUUGAGAAUACUAAUUAAUUUAGGAAUGUCUUUCAACUUAUAUUAUAAUUUAAUAUGAAACGACCCGCCCCGAAUCCCCUCCUAGGCGAGUCUAUCUAGUCUUAUCAAAACGGACUUGAUAAAAAUUCUAUUAGUAAAGAUUCUGCCGAAAAUUCGACAGAGUCUCAUUUAUAUAUAUAACACUCCCAAUAUACAAAUAUGAAUAUAAAACUCUCAAUACAAUUUAAUAUACAACAAACUCCAGUGAUCAACAUCCUCAACUAAAAUGCUGAGUUUUAUAUCUCUAGAGUCUCAAAAGAUAAUAUUAUAACUAAUAUUAAUAUCUCAAUUUAUUCUUAAUCCCAAAAGAAUAAUAUAACAAAAUUAUACAAUCCCAACAGGACGAGAUAACCAAGAUGUCCUAACAAAAAUAUUUAUAUCUUCUGACACCAUCACGUGGCCAAGACUCAAAAUACAUUUACAGUCGCUGGGUCGUUCUGGUAUACCUGCAACCUCCUGGUGGGGGGAAAAUAUAAUAAAAACGAGGUGAGUUUAAAACUCAGUGAGAUCAGUGAGUGGAUAGUAGUUUUGAAAAUUAAUUCUUACUUUAAAAGAAAUAAUCAUAUCAUUUCCAAACACGAUUUCAUUAAACCAUAAACGAGAAACCAGUAAUAAAUCAUUAAACAUUUAAAUCAGAUUACUAACUAUGGAAAUCAUAUCACAAUAUCAUAUAGAAUUCACAAAUCUAAAAAUCAUCACCAAACAAGUACCCAGGGAAAUAAUCUCGUCAUAUCCAGAACUCAACGGACGGGCAAUGACGUACUAUUUGGGUAACGUCACGCCCCGGAGCUACACGGAUAGACAGGGAAAUAUCAUCUCAUAUCUCAUCAUAUAUGUGCAUGCAUAAUCUAGUCCCCAAGGGACAAAAGCGCCCAAGCACACGGCCCAAAGCCUCUGUGUGUACUCAGACGGGCCCCAAAUGUCUAUAUCUCAUCUGUAUCAUAUGUAUCUCAAUAUAUGUUUGUAUCUCAUAUAUGUAUCUCUGUAAUCAUCAUACCGCAUGCAUAUGCCCCCAAAAGGCAAAAGCGCCCAAACACACGGCCCAAAGCCUCUAUGUGAGUUUAGACGGGCCUCAAAGGCCUCUCAUCUCGUAUGUAUCACUGUAUCUGGAGGGAAGUGUAUUGUCUAAUGAUUUCAAAAACAAUCAUUAUACUCAUAUUCACAUACCUCUUAACCAUAUUUUAAAUCAUACCACAUUUGAAUCCACUUUUCUUAUUUUUAAAAUACUAUGAUGCUUAUUCAAAGUCGAUAUGCAAAAUCAUUAACCAAACAUUUUAAUAAUAUACCAAUGCGUGAAUAAAAUCCAGUUCGAGGAAAUCAUUAAAUCUGAACAUUUAAAAUACUUAUUUCGCAAACAUGCUUUACUAUCAUAAUUAACUAUGAAAAUAGGUUUUGUAUAUUCCACUCAUAAUGACGGUGUUCACGGUCGGUUAUCGUCCAUGUCCGCGGACCGAUUCUCGCUCGCGGAUCCUCCUAAAUCAAGGAAACGACAUAAUUAUUUUUCGUAAAUCAGAAUUAUGACUAAAUUUUAUGCAAUAAACUCGAAACGAAUAUCUAUCCAUAAUUGACAACUCCCGUGUCCAUAAAAUUACUAAAAUGCCCUUGAGUCCGUAGAUCAUUAACAUGCUCUGAAAUCGUAAAUCACAGAAUUACCAUCGGAAUCGUAAUUACACCCAAUCCUCAAUUCUAGGAAUUACUAAAAUAUCCACAGGCUCAGAAAUUACAAAAUUACCCUCAUAGUGUGAAAUUACCAAAAUGCUCUUGCCGGUCAACGGUCAACGGUCAUCGGAAUUUGGUCAACGCUGGCUAGGAAGCUCAAAUCUGAAAGUUCCAAUCACGCUGAGUUCAAUGGUACCGACGGUGAGCUCCAACGCGCGGCAACGACACUGGAAUCUAGCUCGGCAGCCGUGAAUUCCAACAAUCGACCGGAGGCAAAACAAUGACUCUCAGUGCCUAUGGAUGGUCGAAAAUGGAAGAGGGAGUCAUGAGGAACAAAAUCCAACCGGUGGUGUCACCCAAAACCGGCGAAAAUCCCGGCGAAGCAAAGUGAAACAGUCGCGGGUUUCAAGCUUCGAUCGCCGGCGUUCUGGUUGGUUUUCGGCAGCGAGGAUGACAAGGGAAUGACGGUCGGCUUCUAAGCUUCAGAUUGGUACCAAGCUCGGCCGAAACGGUGGCCGGAAAUGGGAGUUAUGGCCGGGUUAAGGUCGCGGGUUCCGGGUCGGGUUUUCGAGUAGGGUUGAUGGCUUCUCUCUCUCACUCUCUCACACACAUGUGGCUUCUGUUUUUGUUCUUUUUUUUCCAGCUUCUUCUUUUGUUUAUUAAUAAAAUCCUUAACCGCCAAAAUCCUUAACCACCUCAUUUUAUUUUUAAUUCACAUAUGUUACAUAAUACCUAAUAUUUGGAUAUUAUUAUUAUUUUUUAAUUUCUUAGAAGUGUCGCACCCUUGCUACUCAUCUCUAUGCUAAUCCGUCCAUGACUAGGGCCAUAACUUUCCAAAAUCAUACCAUUAAGGGUGCGUUUGAGAUUGAAAUUGGAUAGUUAUAACUUAAAAGUUACAACACUAAAGUGUUUGGUAAACAUUAGCUGCUGUAACUUAGAAAGUAUGUUGAUAUGAUUUUUCACUUGUAUAAUAGAAAAUCUAUAAUAUUUUUAAUAAUUUUAUCAAAAUUAUUUUUAAAAAUUUAUAUUUACUAUAUAUUACUAACUUUUAUGUCAUAGUUACAAUUUUUUUUUACUGCAGAUACAGCUUAAAAGGUAUAGCACAUCAAUCACAAACGCACCCUAAAUAUGGGUGUAUACGCUCAGGUGACACAUUAACAUAAUAAACUAGUAGUCAUUAUAUAUCAAAUAAACUUACAAACACUCCUCCUGUAUUUGUUUGUUUAGUCUAAUUUUUUAAAUAAAUCUUAUCUAAUUAGAGCUUUUGCUUUUAGACUAGUAGUGAUUAUAUAUCAAAUAAACUUAUAAAUACCCCUCCUAUAUUUGUUUCUUUAAUAUAAUUUUUUAAAUAGAGUUUAUCUAAUUAGAAAUUUUCUUAGAAGAGUUUUUGUAAAUAAAACUUAUUUGUUUAGUAUAUUUUUAUUUAUAAAAUUAAAUAAUAAGUUAUACCAAACAGAUAUUAUAUUUAACUUGGUCACUACAAUCCGAUUUAAUUACAAAAUAUUCUAAUGAUUAUUACUGUCCACCAAAUAUGAGAAACAAAAUUCUCUUCUUAUAAAAAUAUAUCUCAAUAUGUCUUAAUUGCAUCUUAAAUAUUUAAUACUCUCUUUGAAAAAUUUUGGCCUUUUCUGGCUACCUAUCUCGAUUCUUCAAAAAAAAAAAAAAACUAAAUUUCAUUUCUCAUAUUGACAAAAACAAAUGAUGGCUCUCCACGACAAGCAAACUCAAGUAAUUGACACCGAUGGGAAAAUAAAAAUAAAAAAUCAAUUGCCCACAUAAUUUUAGUUUAUUUUUUAUCCAAGUUUUUAAGGGCAGAAAUUAAACUUACUUGCCGCUCACACAAGCACUCAACUUCAGUUGAUUGAUGGAUUGAUAUUUUUCCCUCUUUUCCAUUCCCAUGCCUUUCAAUUCACUUGAUCGAAAAAAACCCCCCACAAAACCCAACCAAUAGAAAACUGCCACAUCACGAAAUCUCAAACGCUUCAGCGCUCUAUAUCGCUUCGGGCUCUCUCUCCGUAGUACCUAUCCUUCUUCUAACAAUGGAGCGAGCCGCGUUGCUUCGUUCUCUCUCUUGUACUUCCCUCGCUUCCAACAGAUUCUACUUUCGCUCUUUCGUACCUCGCGCCAAAUUUUCAUCAUCAUCAGUUGCUGUUGCGAGGAGAAAUCACCACCGUCUGAUCAACAACCUCACCAGGCGCUCCCUCCUCCGCGGCGACAGCAGAUUACACCUCUCCUUAUCGUCUUACUCUCUUCAAUUCAACAAACACUUCUCCUCUCUCUCUCCUCGCGCCGUCGCCUCUCCUUCCACUCCCUCAUCUCCAGGUGCAAAAUUUGUCGUUUCACUCUUUCUAAAUUUCAUCUCUUUUCCCGUUAAUUUAAUUAAUCUCCUACGUUUAAUUAAGCAGUAAUUUUAUUGGUUCAUUGAAUGAUUACCGGCAAAAAAAAAAUAAUACAAUUAUUUUCAAUUCUUGUAAAUUUGUGUUUGUUAAUCGUUAGAAAUGAUCUAUUAUUUGGAAAAAAAAAAUUGAAACUCCUCUUUUACGUUGUUGUUAUUGGUGUGUUGAAUUGAGCUCUCUGAUUGGUUUUCUUUGUGUGUGUAGAGGUUGCUGAAGUCAGCAAUGAAGUGGCGGAGAAGCUUGGAUUCGAGAAGGUUUCGGAAGAGUUCAUUGGAGAGUGUAAAUCAAAGGCUGUGCUUUUCAAGCACAAGAAAACCGGUGCUGAGGUCAUGUCUGUAUCCAACGAUGAUGAGAACAAGGUCUUCGGCAUUGUCUUUCGAACUCCUCCGUAAGUAUUGUAAAUGUACUCUGUCUCACUGUUUGAUAUCGUCUUUUUAUUUUCUCUUUUCAUUUUAUUUGAUUAUAUUAAUUUAAAUCAGAUACAUUGUUAGAUAUUAUCAUUGAAAUGCUAAGAAUACAAGAAAAUAAUUUUCAGGCAGUUAUAGUUUUCUGGACAACGAGACACGUUUUUGGGUUGCAAAAGGUCUUAUCAUUAUGCCUUACCUAUUUGAUAAUGCAGGAAGGAUUCAACUGGGAUUCCACACAUAUUGGAACACAGUGUGUUGUGUGGUUCAAGAAAGUAUCCUUUGAAAGAACCAUUCGUUGAAUUGUUGAAAGGAAGCUUGAAUACUUUUCUGAAUGCAUUCACAUAUCCUGAUAGAACAUGUUACCCAGUUGCUUCUACGAAUACAAAGGUAAGAAAAUGAGUUGGAGUUAUGAGGAACGGGAACCUAAGCUUGGAAACUCUUACAUCUUUUUUGGAUUUUACUUACGCUAAGAUGUUUUCCUAAACAGGAUUUUUAUAAUUUGGUCGAUGUCUACUUAGAUGCUGUCUUUUUCCCAAAGUGUGUGGAGGACUUCCAGACUUUUCAACAGGAGGGUUGGCAUUUUAAGCUGGAUAAUCCUUCAGAGGAUAUAACUUAUAAAGGUUUGAUAUCUGCAGAUAUUUGUUCUCUCUCUCUCUCUCUCUCUCUCUCUCUCUCUCUCUCUCUCUCUCUCUCUCUCUCUCUCUCUCUCUCUCUCUCUCUCUCUCUCUCUCUCUCUCUCUCUCUCUCUCUCUCUCUCUCUCUCUCUCUCUCUCUCUCUCUCUCUCUCUCUCUCUCUCUCUCUCUCUCUCUCUCUCUCUCUCUCUCUCUCUCUCUCUCUCUCUCUCUCUCUCUCUCUCUCUCUCUCUCUCUCUCUCUCUCUCUCUCUCUCUCUCUCUCUCUCUCUCUCUCUCUCUCUCUCUCUCUCUCUCUCUCUCUCUCUCUCUCUCUCUCUCUCUCUCUCUCUCUCUCUCUCUCUCUCUCUCUCUCUCUCUCUCUCUCUCUCUCUCUCUCUCUCUCUCUCUCUCUCUCUCUCUCUCUCUCUCUAUAUAUAUAUAUAUAUAUAUUAAACGUCUGCUGUUAUUUGGUUUUCCCUGGUGAUGAUUCAUCCAACUUACAACUACGUUCUUUGACCUUCCUUUUUUUGUUCUUAAUUGAAGGUGUUGUUUUCAAUGAGAUGAAAGGUGUCUAUUCGCAGCCUGAUAAUAUAUUAGGGCGGGCUGCUCAACAGGCAAGUUCUCCAUUCGUCUGACUGUAUAUCUUUUCAGAUUCCUUACAAUCAGGAAACAAUGGAAAACUGGUUCAUAGUUUAUUCCUCCGAAGUUUCACUGACAAAGUGCCUGAAUCUUAUGAUUGCAUACCCAUAUGGAUCAUUUAUUGAUGCUUCCAAUUCAUUCUUUUUGAAUGCUUCUGAUAAAGCUAUCUUGUUUGCUCUUGCAACUGAGUUACAAAACUUCUUCACAGGCUUUAUUUCCCGACAAUGCAUAUGGUGUAGAUAGCGGAGGUGAUCCAAAAGUUAUUCCAAAGCUGACAUUUGAGGAGUUUAAGGUAUAUUCUUUACUGCAUUUUGAUUUUUUUUUUUUUUUUCGGUUUAUGUUGGUAUGGGGAUUUUUUAACUUAAAUGUUGUGUUAGUUAUUUUUCUCAGGCUGUCUUUCUGAUGGCAGGAAUUUCACCGUAAAUAUUACCACCCCAGCAAUGCCAGGAUAUGGUUCUAUGGAGACGAUGAUCCAAAUGAACGCUUACGCAUCCUGAGUGGUAAUAAAUGACAUCUCUAUUGAGAAUGAAUUGAGUAUCCAUGCUCUUUGUUAAUUUUUUUUUUCUUUUUUCUCACUGGAUUACCACUUUCGGUUGUCCCCCGAAGCUUAUGGGUGCUGGUCCCAGAGUGAUGCAUAUGCAUGAGUGGUCCUUGAAAACUAUGCCUGGUUGAGCAAUUAAAUAAUGGAAACUAAAAUCCUUCCUAAAAUGGAUUUGUUUGAGUUUGCUCUAGUGGAACUAGUUUCGGUACAAAGAUGCAUUAUAAUUAUAGCUUGUCUUCGUAUCUUUACUUGGUAUAUGCAGUAUUUUACUAUUUUCAGUCAAAAGACCAAUAUAUAACCAAAACUGGAAGUUUUCAUAUCCAGUAUGAUUUGCAACUUCUUUUUUAUUAUAUUUGGUCCAAAAUCCAAUGCAUAUCCAAUAUUCACUUGUCUAUGCAUAUCCAACAUUUUCUUGUGCACAUGCAUGUCAAAAUGUUGCCAUUCUGAUAGUAAGUUGAAUGAUAAGGUCUUAAUUCAAGUUGUUCUGUACACUAGCAUCUUAAUUGCACUUUCUCUGUCACAGAGUAUUUGAAUAUGUUUGAAGCAAGUUCAGCCCCCAAAUGAAUCAAUAGUUGAAAAACAGAAACUAUUUUCAGAACCAGUCAGGAUUAUUGAGAAAUACCCUGCUGGUGAUGCUGGUGAUAUUAAGAAGAAGAACAUGGUAUGCCUUAAUUGGUUGCUCUCAGAUAAGCCCUUAGACUUGGAAACGGAACUUGCCCUUGGGUUCUUGGAUCAUCUUAUGCUGGGAACUCCUGCUUCUCCCUUGAGGAAAAUUUUACUAGAAAGUGGUCUUGGAGAUGCCAUUGUUGGUGGUGGGAUUGAAGAUGAACUCCUUCAGCCUCAAUUUAGUAUCGGAUUGAAGAAUGUUUCUGAAGAUGACAUUCAAACGGUAGAAGAAUUAAUCAUGGAUACACUAAAAAAACUAGCAGACGAAGGUUUUGAUAGUGAUGCUGUAGAGGCAUCCAUGAAUACAAUAGAGUUUUCUCUCAGGGAAAAUAAUACUGGGUCAUUUCCUCGUGGCUUAUCACUGAUGCUUCGAUCCAUGGUAAGAUGUACUUCCGUUUAUUACUGUUUUAGAUAUUGGAUAACGUUUCCUUCUUGAAUUUUUUUUGUGAAUGCACUUUUUUUUUUUUUUUCAUAGUUGAUGUUGUUUUGAUUAUGUAGGGUAAAUGGAUAUAUGAUAUGAAUCCAUUUGAGCCAUUGAAGUAUGAGAAACCCUUGAUGGCCCUUAAAGCACGAUUAGCUGAGGAGGGCUCCAAAGCUGUUUUCUCUCCUCUAAUUGAGAAAUAUAUUUUAAACAAUCCCCACUGUGUUACGGUAGAAAUGCAGGUAAGUAUUUUACCAUCUGUCAUUUAUGGUUUUUAUUCUAUCUUAUCAGAUGCUCAACAUUUUCUUAUUUCAUGUCAGCCUGAUCCAGAGAAAGCCUCUCGUGAUGAAGCAGCUGAAAAAGAAAUUUUGGCUAAAGUCAAAUCAAGCAUGACAAAGGAAGAUUUGGCUGAGCUAGCACGUGCUACUGAGGAGCUAAGGUUGAAGCAAGAAACUCCUGACCCUCCAGAAGCUUUGCGAAGUGUUCCAAGUCUAUCUUUGCGUGACAUUCCCAAAGAACCUAUACGUGUUCCCACAGAGGUUAUCAUUGCUUUGAUUAAGUUUGACUGGUAUUCCGUUUGAGUUGAAGAGCUGGUCUCAUUUUAUUAUUGAUUUGGUGUAGGUUGGAGAUAUCAAUGGAGUAAAAGUUCUGCAGCAUGACCUUUUCACAAAUGACGUCCUUUAUACAGAAGUUGUCUUUGAUAUGAGUUCGCUUAAGCAAGAGCUUCUUCCUUUGAUACCACUUUUCUGGUACUGGCCAAUUACUUGUUAUGCAUUUCCUGUUCUCUUCUUCUUACCUUCUAAUUCUACAUGUAACAAGAUGUUUUUCAAAUUGAAUGCUACAUUGAGGAAAGAUCAGGUUGGUUGGUGUUCGGAUUUGGUUUUUUGUGUGUGGGGAUUUGGUUGGUGUUCGGAUGGUCAGUGCAUUCUACCAUCUAUUCUACUUUGUUUCUUUUGCUGUGCCCUUUUAUUUUUUGUAUCUGCCGGCCAAUGCCACCUUAUUCCCAAUUCUACCUCUACUCCAUAGUCUAUUCUAUAUUAUUUUGGAAAAGAUUAAAUCACUGACAUUAUGUUGUAAACUUGCUUAUUUUAUUUUAUACAUUGAUAUUGAACACUUUUGUGGUCCUAAUUUACUACCUCAUUAAUUGGUUUUAUUUUAGAGUAAUGCUAGGGAUCGUAACAAUUGAGUCUCAACUUGAAUCCCAAUUUAUAUGGCAGUCAUCUAGUGGAUGGUAGAAUAUUAAUUUUAUCAAUAAUGAAAUUCACUAACCAAUAAAUGAAUGCCACAUAACAAUUGGGACUUAAGUUGGGACUCAACUGUUGUGAUCCCAAUCAUUGUUAUUUAUUUUAACUUCAAAAAUCUUCUGACGCAGAGUAUAUUUUUUACAACUGCUUCACAUGCUACAUGUCAUCUAGAGAUUUGCAUGUUUGUUUGUAAAUCUUAUCAUAGAUAGCUUCUUUGGCACUCUCUGUUGCAAGAAUUCCAACUGAUAUCCUGGUACUUCUGUUUCCUGUCCAAAACUUUCUGCUUUAUCAUCUCAUUGAAAAGAAGAGAAAAACCUAUAUUCAAAUCUUAUAACUUGCUAAAGUGGCAAAGUUCUGUUGUGUUUAUGAAUUAUGUGGUUAUAUCAAAUAUUUACUUCUCUUUAUGUGUAUCUUACCAAGUUGAUGGACCUAACACCUUUUGACUUCUACAAUAAACUUCAGUCAGUCAUUGAAGGAGAUGGGUACCAAAGACUUGAGUUUUGUGCAACUUAAUCAGUUGAUUGGAAGAAAGACUGGAGGAAUUUCAGUUUAUCCAUUCACAUCUUCCAUACGUGGCAAAGAGGAUCCUUGCUGUUGCAUGGUUGUUCGAGGCAAGGCCAUGGCAGGGCAAGCUGAAGAUCUUUUUAACCUGGUAAUACUUUUGGCAGAAUUUGCUAAUGAAUCUAUUAUGUUUCUAUUUACCUUUUUGUGUUUUAUGUCCCCAUUGCAUGGGACAUUAUGGUGACUCUUAAGAAUUGCUUUCAAAUUUCCUCGUCAUUUAGACAUCAGAGAUACUUUUUCUGUUUUAUCACUUGGUUCUUUCCGCAUAUAAUCAGGAAAAGUCAGCACACACUUUUUAAAAGUUUUUGGAUCACUUUUAAUGAUGCUUUUAGUCAUGUUAUUUCUUCACAAUUCUUAGAUAUUCGCUUUGUUUUUCAUUAAACUGGCAUGUGCUUGUGUCUUGCACCUUGGAAAGGAUAUAGUUUGUCUGUCGGGAAAUGAUUCAAAGGAGUCAUUUUAGUUAAGAAGCAUGAAAAUAUCUCUCUUCUAUGAGACCUGUGUUAUUACGCUGUAUAAAUUAUUGAUAUUGUUUCUAUUCUCUCUUCCUCUCUGUACCCCUCUCUACCUCUGUUGCUUUUAGUGUAAACUAGGAAAAAAAUUUCCUCUCUCAGUAUAGUGAUUUUGUGAUAGAAGCUAAUUUUUUUAAUGUUAUACCAUUGACCCUGUUAUUUUGUUAUGAUUUCAUCACUGACUGAUUGAUCCAUUCAUGCAUGAUAUAUAAAUGUAGUUUAACUGUGUUCUUCAAGAAGUCCAGCUAACGGACCAGCAGCGAUUCAAGCAGUUUGUUUCCCAAAGCAAAGCAAGAAUGGAGGUAGGUUUUGUAAUAAUUACAUUUACUAGUAUGUAAAAUUGGGAAUCCAUCUUUAUUGAAUCUCAGAGUUCAUGUUUGUUUUCAGAAUCGAUUAAGAGGCAGUGGGCAUGGAAUUGCAGCAGCAAGAAUGGAUGCAAAAUUAAAUACAGCUGGGUGGAUUUCAGAACAAAUGGGUGGUGUCAGGUUGGAAUAAUUGGAUGGCACUAAGUGCUUUUUUUCCCCCUCUCUGUGGACUGUAUCUUAUCAACAAAAUGAGAAACAUUGUCUUGAAUUGAUAUUUGCAAUAAUGAACUACAAUUUUGCUUUUGGUUUGUUAGAGGUCUCAUUGUGUAUCUAGAUCCAUUUCUAGAACAAGCCAUUUUGACAUUAUUAUUCUUGCCUAUUUGAUUUGGCUGAUAUAAGUUGUAUUUCUGUGUGCUUAUAGCUACUUAGAAUUCCUACAAGCUCUCGAAGAAAAGGUUGAUCAAGACUGGGCUGGGAUUUCAUCAUCUCUUGAGGAGAUUCGCAGAUCCUUUCUUUCAAGGGAAGGUUGCCUGAUAAAUAUGACUGCUGAUGGGAAAAAUCUCAAAAAUUCAGAAAGAUUUGUUGGCAAAUUUCUUGAUAUGCUUCCUACCAACUCUCCUGUUGAAAGAGUUAAGUGGAAAGCUCAUCUUCCUUCAGCAAAUGAAGCUAUUGUGAUUCCCACACAGGUACAAGUUUAUUUUUAAAUUUGAAAAAUAAAAUAAUUAUGCCCAUUUUCCAAAGAGCUGCAUAUUAACUUUCUCCUAUUGCAGGUAAAUUAUGUUGGAAAAGCGGCUAACAUAUUUGAGACUGGUUACAAACUCAACGGGAGUGCCUAUGUUAUAUCAAAACACAUUAGCAAUGUGUGGUUGUGGGACCGUGUCCGUGUCAGUGGUGGGGCUUAUGGAGGUUUCUGCGACUUUGAUUCUCAUUCAGGUGUGUUGUAAUGCUAUUUAUUUUGGCACCCAGCUCUAGUUGUAAUAUUUUGAAUCUAAACUCUUGAUGUGUUUAUGUAGGAGUAUUCUCAUUUUUAUCUUAUCGGGACCCCAACUUGUUAAAAACACUCGACAUAUAUGACGGAACCGUGGAUUUCUUGCGGGAGUUGGAAAUGGAUGAUGAUACAUUAACUAAAGCAAUUAUUGGGACCAUUGGAGAUGUAGAUGCAUACCAGCUGCCUGAUGCCAAAGGUUAUAGUAGGUAUGUGGGCGGCUGGUUUUGUUCUUCUUCAUGGAAUUGUCUGUUUUCUUUAUUUUUAUGGUUAUUCUCUUCCUUAUUGUUUCCGUUACCAGGACAAAAUUUGGCCCUUAUUUUACCUUAAAUCAUUUGAAUAUUUAUGUCGUAGACCUUUGACAUGAGUGUCAUUCUAAACUUUUGGGAAGAAUUGCUAGAAAGGAGAAACCUCACAAAUUUUCUUUCUUUAUUUUUUUCCCAGUAUUUCAAGUGUUCACUCUGAAUUUUAUUUGACUUAUGAGUCAAUAAGUUCACAACCUGAUGGUGGCACAGUUAGUUAUAAGCCUUGGGGUUGGCUUCUGAAUGUAUCUUAUGAUUACUUUUGUUGCCUUUUUGUGUUUUACUGAUAUUAUCAAAUAUCAGACUCACCUUUUCUUUUUCUGUUUUCAGUUUGCUACGCCAUUUAUUAGGAAUCACAGAAGAAGAAAGACAAAGGAGGCGAGAAGAGAUCUUAUCUACAAGGUAAAGAAAAAACUUGCUAUUAAUUUACAUCUUAGAUAUUGAAGUUGUAAAAGCAUCGGAAAGGUACAGAAGUGCUUACAUAAUGCAGAGUUAUUAGGCCUUCUAUAAAUAAAAGUCUGAUGUCAGGAUCUUUUAAGUGCAAUUCAACGUUACAUAAGGCUGAAUUGACCAUUUGUUUGUCUGUGGCUCAUUGACAAAAAAUCUAAUCGCUGGUUGAAUAGAUUGCAUCAACCUUUUUCGAAAUAUAUGUAAUUUUUCUUUCUUUCACCUCAGUUUGAAGGACUUCAAGGAAUUUGCUGAUGUAUUGGAGGCCAUAAAAGAUAGAGGAGUUGCAGUUGCGGUGGCGUCUCCUGAUGAUGUUGAUGCUGCAAACAAAGAGCGUGCCAAUUUGUUUGAAGUGAAGAAAGCCCUCUAAGACCCUGGAAGGUUUUGGAAGACUGGAAAAUUGCUCUGAUGGCAAGUGAUGCUCUUACCCCAAUAUUUUCCCAUCGGGUACGAAAUGCUUGAAGCAUUUCCAAAUUUUUCACAGCAAUCAGUAGAAAAAUAAUGGGAAAGAGGAAACAAGUGUUUACAGCAUGAGAUAUAUGCUCCAUUUCAGUGGUGUUAAAAGGAGUUUAAUAUAUUAACCCUUGAAAGUCUGCUUUUAAACCUUUUUCGGUUUUACAUUUUGAUAACUGAUUGAUCUGCAGAGCAUAAUGGGUAUAGAGUAUGAAUGACUAUUCUGAAAUGAAUUGUAGUUUAUUCUUUUAAGAGGUGGGAACAUGAAUGACAUUAAAAUUGAAUUAUGUUUUAUGGGCAGCUUGAUCAUGAAAUUGUACAAUUUAAUUUUGAAUAUUUGAUAUAUUUAAAGGAUGCGCUUAUCUUGUGGGCUAGUUUGUCAUACGUUCGUAAAUCUGAAAUAUUUUGAAUUUCACAUUUUUUCAAAAAAGUUACUUGUUUGCUUUUUAUAUUUUAUGUGUGGUUUUUAGACAUUUGUAUUUAAGUAGAAAAGGUGAUUUUUUUUUUUACUUCUAUUUGAAUGAACUAAAUGAGAAAUAAAUAUUAUAUUCUAAAAUUAUCUAAAUUAAAUAUACUUAUUUCUUAUACUAUAAAAUGUAAUCUUUUUAUUUGUUUUGAUUUAUAAGAAUACAAAAGUCAAGUAACUAUGUUUAAAAUGUUUUUUUAUUCCUUUUUAUGGAGGAGUUAUUUGAAUUCACUAAUUUACUCUUUACAAUCUAACCCUCUUUUUAGUUAAGAAUUUUAUUAUGUAAUUUUGGAAAAAAAUUACUUAAUUAACCAUUUUCUUUUCUUGCUCUUCUCAAUGUCGCAAAUUCUCAUCAGUCAUUUAGAUAUGUUCUUUUAACUACAAAUAAUAUCACUAACUAAGAGGAAUAAAGCCUACCAUUUAAAAAUAAACAUCAACAAACUUUUAUCAACCAUGAAAGUUAAUGCAUAUAGAAAUUGAUUCUUACUAAACACAAAAUCAAGUAACCAUGAAAGCAUGAAAUAAAGACUAGAGUCGGCAAAUUAAGGGCUUGGGUCGGGCUUUUUCAAGCCUAGACCCAAGCCCAUAAGAGUAUAAGUGCAAGGGAUGGGCCCAUUGCAAGUUUGGGCUAGGCUUAAGCCGGGCUUGGGCUUUUACUUAUUUUUCAAUUUUUAAAAAUUAUCGUAAACUUGAAAUGAGUUAAUAAUAAUCAAGUUAUUAUAAUCAACAAUAAAUUAAAGAAAUAAAUAUUUUAAAAUAAUAAAUAAAUAAAUAAAAUGAAGCAAAUAAAAGUUUAGGAGAUGUAAUUUUUUAGUACUUAAUUCUUUAAUUCAAUCACUCUCUUAAUUAAUUAACACUUAAAAGAGAAUUUAAUAUUAUAAUUUUAAGUUUUUUGAUUCAUUAUUAAUAUAUAAAUUAGGGAUUUAAGCUUUAUUUUUUUAUUUUUAAAUUUUAAUUUAUAAUUUUUUUUUUUAAAAAAAUAGAAGGCUUGGACUUGGCUCAGACUUUUUUUUUCCUAAGUCGUUGUCCAGACUCUCGUGUCGAAGGUCCAUGCCAAAGCCCAUGGGAAGGGGUGGGCUAGCCUGAACUUUUUUGUCAUCCCUAAUAAAGAUCAUGAUAUAUUAAGAAAAACAAAAAAAAAUCAAAAGAAAAUGAAAUUGAGCAUUUAAUUUGCAUAAUAUGAAAGUGAAGAGAGAACACACAAUUGUACAGUAGAGAGAGAAAGAUAAUAGAAAAGGUAAUUUUGAAAUUUUAAAAAUUUAAAUCUUUAAUAAUGAAUUGAUUUUUUAAAAAAGGGUAGGGAGAAAAAUUUAACAGGUUCAAAUAGUUUAACUCUUUUUUAAUUUAUAAAAAUAAAAACAAUGCCACUUGUAUUUAGAUAUUAAAAACAGAAAAAUAAAAAUAUUAUGCAAAAACAAACAUUACUUGCGUUUUAUUUGUCACAAAUCAAAUAUAUUUAGCAUAUUUUGAUUAUAUAUUUUGAGGUUCUUUAUAUUAAAUUAAUUUAUGUAUUUGAAAAUAAUUUUACGUUUAAGUCUUUUAACAAAUAAGAAAAAUUUAUUAUCUUGCUUUUGCAAUGCAAAUGAGGAGGAGAGACUAGUGUAAAUUACGACAAAUGUUAAAAUUUAUCAAAACUUGAAUUAAUGUACGACAAUGAUACGAACCCUAAAGUUUAUAAGGAGAAAUCAAAUUAAAUAGAAAAAUUAGAUGACAAAUAAGUUUAAUUCGAGGAAAUCCAAACCUCCAAAUAAGUAUUGGUUAUUCGAGAAACCAAUAAACUCCCAAUUACAACUUUUAUAUUGUCAAAAUAAUAAACUCAUGAUACUUUUUAUUGAAUAAAAUCAAGCUUUAUAUAAUAAAGCUUAUUUAGGAUUACAACCUAAAAAUUAGUAACACUAAGCAUGUUCUCACAUAAUACUCCUCUAAUUACAUGUAAUUCCACAAAAUAAGUGCAACUACUUUUGACUAGUUCAAAAUUAACUAAUACCAUAAAAUUAAAUAAAUAAAAUAGAUCAUUUUAAUUAUUUUAAUAGUUUGUAUCAACAAAUCUUAAAAUUUAUCAAAAUUUUAAUUAAUGUAAUUCUAUUGAUUAAGCUAUUGUAAAAAAAAAUUUCUUUAAAGGAAGAUAUAAGAUUUCAUUAAACAAAUAACAACAGUACAAUAAUUUGCAGUACAUCAUCAGUACAUAUUAUAGGGAUCAAGAUGCAAAAGUCUUUUACAGAAACCAAUUGGAUUAACUCAUAGAAUCCUGCUGAAGAAUAAGAAGAGACAAUUGUACCCAGAAAGUAAACACUUUCAUUCACAGUACACGGAUGGUUCGAUUGUCAAUCGGGAAUUCUUGGCUCUUUUGACAUAAUCUCCAUCAAUAUAGUCGAGCUUUCUGACUGGUACCAAAAUAGAUUUACUUUAUAACUUGAUCCCACACAGCAAGCUUUCUCACAGCUAAAGGAAGCAGAAACUGAAGUAGAUCUUCCAUCCUCACACUCGAAGGUGGAGGAAGCUAAAACAAGACAACCAUCUUCAAUGCAUAUAGAUGAGGAGGCUGCAACAAAAAAACGAAAAAAAAAGAAAAAAAAGAAAGGCCAUUGGAGAGGGAGAAAAGGAACUCCCUCGCCAAUAAUUUGGUAAGAAAAAGAUGAAAAGUUGUUGGAGGAAAGUUUUGUGAAAAGAUCCAGUUAAACAAAUUAUUAUGCAUUUCUUGAAACAACAAAACAUUUAAUUAGUUGUUAAGAUUAAAUUUAUUAUUUAACGACGGUGUGAAAAUUAAAGUUCGGCACAUCUUUUUUCCUAUAUUGGCAGAAUUAGACCUAUCAAAAAUUCUUUUAGAAAUGAACUCCAAAGCUAACUUCAAUUUUCAACGAUGGCGAAGUGUUUUUACAUAUUCAAUGUUUUGGUCGUGAAUUAUGAAAUGAGUAAAUAUUAUUUGUUUCACAAGUAACAUUUUAUUUUUCACAAAGUAUUAACCUGUAUAUUGCUAAUGGCUCAUCAAGGGGAAUCGGGCAUUAGAAAUUUAAAAUAUUAGAUAAUAGAUAUAUUUAAUUUAUUUUUUACUCGGGUUCGGGGCCUUGACAAAGGACCUGGAUCCUCUUCUAAUCUGAGCACUACUAAACUUUUAAGAAUUUUUUGCCAUGUGUCUUUUAGUGGUAGUGUAUGAGUAAAAUUUAACUUUUUUUAUUUUUUUAUUUAUUAACAACCAAUCAGUGAUUGAAUUAUUUGUUCAGGACAUGAUCAGAUCAGGAGAGAAUCCUGAUCCCCUGACAAAAUCCCCUAAUCGAAAUUUGAAAAGUUUGGGCCCAUCCUAAAAUGAACCAGAAUUUAUUUUUCAAGUUUUCCGAGGGUCUAUACCUACGCCAAAUUAAUUGCACGCCCGCGGAUAUUGCUGUCAUCCCUACUAAUGGGGCAUCAUCUCGUUUCCAAUAAUGAAUCCUGACUUCCAACAAAAUAUUUCCAAAUACUUAUUGUUAUGUGAAAAAUAAAUUGCAUCAAUGGAGGUUUUCAAUUCAAGCAAGAUGAAAACUUGGCAGCCAACUGUUGGUUGUUUUAUAAUUUUUAAAUAGCAUCGACCUUAAAUUAUCAGUUUUUCUCUAGUGUCUCAUUUAGGUUACUGAAAUAAAAUAAAAAGUAAAAGUGGGAAUAAUGAUUUAACAAAAAAACUAUGAUAUUGUAGUAAUUUCAUAUCUUCACAAACAACAAUCUCAUCUGAAUUGUUGCUAAAUCUCAUUCUAAAUUAACGUGUGAUAAUCUCAUUCUGAAAAUAUGAUCAAUUAUGAAUGCACCGCAGCGCACGUAGAUGAGGGCAGUAUGAAUACACGAAGGACACAGUCUGAUGCUCAUAACACUAAACAAUAUAUUUAUAUAUUUUUGGCUUCGCAGCAAUGUUUUGAUUAGUUAGUAAUUUUAGUGUAACAAAAUACACAUGGCAAGUAAGAUUUAAGUCCUUUUCCGAUCAACUAAAUAUAUUAGGCCCCAUUUGGUAUUGAAGUUAAACAGUUGUAACUUUUCUAAAGUAUUUGUUAUAAACACUAGCUGUCAUAACUUGAAAAUUAAGUUAAUUUGAUUCAUUGUUUGUACGAUGAAAAAACCUAUAAUAAUAUUAUUAUUUUUGUUAAAAUUAUGAUUUAAAAAAUUUAUAUUUACUAUAGACCUUUAACUUUUAUUUCAUAAUUAUAAUCUUCUUUUUUAACAAUAUAACUUAAAAAUUACAGCACAUUAAUACUAAACAGUCCUUCAUAUUUAAGCUUUCAUCUACUCUCGUUAGACCCACACAUUGUAUUAUCAAACACUAGUGAAGCUGUAAGCAGCGUAUCUUAAAAUCUCAAAUUCAGUUGACUGAUCGUUGCUUGCCUUAGUAUUAAAUUUUUCUAUUUUUUUUUUAUUAAAGAAAUAACUACGACAACUACUGGCAUGCAUGGCCCAUGCAUGUUGUGAUCAGCUUAUAGCUUCUGGUCCUUACCCUAAGUAGUUAGGAGCCGACCUCAUAAUUUAAACCUUAAUUAGCAAUUUCUACCCAAAAAGAUUGCCAGCUAAAAGAAUAGUCGGCAAUCAAUUUUUCUUAGGCUCUAUUGCAUUAAUAUCUUUUUUCUAGGUGUUUGUUAAGGAUAAUAUAUAGUGGAAGGAAAGCAUGAAGAAAAUGCUGGAUAAUAUUUUGAAUGAAAGAGAUCGAAGAUAAUAUAUACAUAUGUAGCUUGAGAUUUUAAAGUGUGGGAAAGUUCGGGAAAAUAUAUAAACUGUGAAGUUUAUGGGAUUUAAGUUUUAAGCCUCCUAAACCCUACAGAUUUAAAGCUUUCUCGGAUUUUUCUGUAUUUUAAAAUUCCGGACUAGAUAGAUAUUCAACCCAAAAGACUAACAUAUUGGGUGAAGGAAUCCAUCCUACUUAUAAACCCAAGUAACUCCCCUUUACAAGCCAAUUUGCGACACAAUUCAACAAUCUUCUCCUUAGAUGAAACCACCGUCGGACCCCAUUCCUUUCGUGUGACAUAUCUAAAGUUUUCCACUAUCACACUAUGGUUACUAAGGUUUAGCUUUGAUACCACUUGUUAGGAGACUAGGUUUAGGAAUUUUAGGCGUUCAACCCAAUGUAAGACACAACUUAAUAGGUAUCAUAGGCAAAGCAGCAGCACCAAUUUCUCUGCCAUAUCCAUCUUCAUUCUCUUGUGAUGCUAGUGGCAGUAUAUGAUGCUAUUGCCACCGGCUCAAAAGGGGAAAAAAAAAGUUGAGUUAAAGAAAAUAUGUUCUAUAUGUUCUGUUUGUUUGAUCAGAAAAUAAAGAGAAAAUUUAUUGACUCAGAGAGAAAAUUGAAAACUGAAUUCAUUUAUCUUUUCAUCAGAAUGAAUUGAGAUUACAAUGCUAUAUAUAUAGCUGUGUGUAGAAUAUUCUAUGAGGCAAUAAACUCGUGUGCACACAUCCAGCUACACGCAACAAAAUUUUGGAGGGAAACUAACAAACCCUCAACAGCCGAUCAACUUGCAUAACGGCCUUCCAACGUGGCAGCUUAGUGACGAGUCAGCACUUAUUCGUAACAAGCUAGGCGAAAUUGUAUAGUUAAAAUACUUCGAUAAUAUAUAAGUACUAGCACACAUGUGUUUCACUCAAGUUCAUUAUGAAUACUAUAUAUAUACUAGAAUAAAAUGAGUUCCAAUAGGAUUAUUGUUUACUAACAUAAUUAAUUAGCCAAAGUAUUGAUGUUCAAUCAAUUAAAAGUAAAAGGUUUUAUCCUCAAUAAUUGGAAUUAGCUAGCUUUUGUGUUCACUAUAUGUGAUGAUGAUUCUGGAUAUUUGAAUUGGGUUUGGGUAAAUUUUGUUCUAUAAUCCGCAUUAAUUGUUUAGUUUAUUUAUUUGUUAACUGGUUUUUUUUUUUUUUUUUGUCUUAACCACGAGAUAUCUUGGGGAGGGCCCCAACUGUGGGAGGCACUUUUAAGCCCGUACCACAACCCAGACUAUAAGUCCCCGCUCGAACCGGGAGGCACGAGUUCUCCCAACAAAGGCGACUUCCCUGCGACUCGAACUGGGGAGCAAACCCAGUCAAACCACUUAAGGGGACUCCAUUACCAGUGGAGCCAACACUUUGUUGGUAUUUGUUAACUGACUUUUAUUUCAGACAUCAAACAUUUCAAGCCGAAGUAGAUUCUCAAUCCAUGCAUCCUAGAAAAUCAAGACCCGAACAUAAAGAUUUUGCAGAAACAAUUUUUCAGCCCGACAAAAAGGGUGCUGAAAUCAGCCCAAGAUAUGGAGCUCAACUACUCAAAGCCAUACGAUAUUCACACUGUUCUUACCAUUGAUAGUUUACCGAAAGACCUCUUCAGAGUCCGUAAAAUCUUGAAACUUCCAAUAGUUCUGAACUUUGGAGGUGUGUUAAAACGAAGUUGAAUCCACAAGUUACCAUACCAAGAAUUAAUAACUUGACCUAACUUUUCCAGAAAAUUUAUUCUGAAUUCUAAUCAUCAUAGAUAAAUAUUCAAUGAUACAUAUGUUUUGCAUGUGCAUCAUAUUAUAAUUUAUUAUGUUUAAGUACCUCUAUAGUUAUUUUAAAAGGAGUAUAGAUAUUUGAACACUAGAGUGACCCCAAUGCAACCAAAUUAGUGUUACUGUUCAGUGCACAUUAACACUGUAACAGCCAAAACGACGCAAUAUUUAUUACAUAAUGAUAUCAUUUCUAUCGCCUCAGUGUUGCCGUAAUGCAUGUCCAAAUAUCAUUUUUCAUUUGAAAAAACCAAAAAAAGGGCAACAAUGUAACUAUCUUUGUUUUCUGGUGAACCUAAUGUAACCUUUCUUUUUUUAUUAUUAUUUAAAUUAGUUUAUGUAUUGAUGCUUCAACUACCCUCAUAUUUAAACCAUUAUAAUACUGUUAUUAAUGAAGCAGCAGCUAGCGUACCUCAAAUUUCAGAUUAUUAAUUCUUACAGUAUUUUCCAAUACCUACUAAAAACUGAAAACAAAACACAAGCUCUGAAGUUAUAAUGUCUUUGCCUGCCCUAGACAUUCAUGAAUCACCCAGCAUAUAUAUAUAUAUAUAUAUAUAUAGAGAGAGAGAGAGAGAGAGAGAGAGAGAGAGAGAGAGAGAGAGAGAGAGAGAGAGAGAGAGAGAGAGAGAGAGAGGUUUUAACGAUUCUGUUUCUCUUCAUUUAUAUGUGAAUUGUGAACGUGGUACUAAAAUUCACAAGAAAAGUUAGCUCCAUACGUUAACAAAUCUGUGAAACUCAUAAAUAUGUAAUUUCAUUACCAAUUAUGAUCAAUAACUGUAACAGCGGUUACAGCGCUCAAUUUCCCAGUGAGUCGUUCCACAAUUAUGACUAUAGGGCUCAUUUAUUAUUCUACCAACAUUCUAAAAAACCCAAUCUUUAUGUAUACAUAUAGUAACUCUAAUAUUGGCUUCUUGUUCAUGGCUUGUUAUACUAAAAUUUGCUGAUAUUAAAAAACGGUACUGUUUCUACAUUUUAUUACGGGAGAGAAGUGUCCCAUUUUUCCCAUCUAAUAUAGAUUAAAAACAAAAGGAUCUUGAAAGUGAAAAUGAAAUGGCUAGGCAUAUACAGAUCAUGAAGGGGGACCAUGAUGUAGGGGCAUGACCCUUGUUGUUGCCAACUAACAAUAAUAGGGUAAUAAUUUGCGAAUCGAGCAACGUGGUCCUUGCUCUUGCAAAAACUACUUAGGACCAACCCUAGUAUUUAGUAUUUACCUGAAUAGACAGCAAUCAAAAUGUUACCGUAAUCAAAUUCACCCAUCACCCUGGCCCUAGUUGGUAAAAUUUUUUCGAUACUUGCACAAAACAUAAUGAGACUGCCAUUUAUUCACCACCCGUGCCCAUCAUCUAAUAAGCAAUUGCUUUGUUACUCUUUGUACAUAAAUGUUUGAACAAAACAAAUUAAAGCUGAUUAUUUCCAUUUUACGUUUAGCUAGCUGCUGCUCAAUCUCCUAGUAUGGUAUUAUUAUGAUAUCAUGAGUGGAAUUUGGAAAGUGGGUAUUUCGAAACUGGGAAGUGUAUUGAUAGACAUUUACUGCUUGCAAUUGAAACUAAUUUAGGCAAGUACUUUCUCCACUGUCUCUAACUUAUUUUAGAUAGAUUACAAGCAUGUCAAAUUUAAUUAUUCCAAAAAAUGCACCUCAAACGAUAUGACGUUUAUCAUAUAAAGAGUGGAAUAGGCCACUACAUGUUGUUGUCGAAUGGUAAUCUAUGCCUCAAUUACGUUGAGCCUUAAUUUUCCUAUUUUUUUAAUAUUUAAAGAAAAAAAAUGAAGUAGUCGGAUAAAAUUUUGAAGCAUUGCCACAAUGCCUGAAGGAUUUGCCCGUAUUGGUGCCUCGAACGGAUCAGGAUUCUCUCCUGAUCUGAUCAUGUUUUGAGCAAAUAAUUUAAUUGCUGAUUGGUAGUUAAUAAAUAAAAAAGUAAAAGAAGUUAAAUUUUACUCAUACACUAUCAUUAAAAUACACAUGACAAAAUAUCUUUAAAAAUUCAGUAGAACUCAGAUCAGAAAAAAGUCUUAUUCUGCUCCGGGCACAAGCUAAAAUGACUUCGUUUUAGAUUGUGCUUGUUCGGACACCAAUUCAAACAAAUCCUUUGAACAUUGCAAAUUUUUCUAAUUUUAAAAAUGACCGUUAGCACUACCAUAAUAAUAAAGAGUUGUGCAGGUGGUUGAAUGAGUAAAUUUUGCAAUAAAUUAAUUAACAAAAUAAAAUCUUGUGUGAUAAAAAAAGAGAGAGAAGGAAAGAAGUUAAGAUAAGGUUUGUAAAAAACAUAGAAAUUUAAUGAAUUUUUUCAUGAAAGCAAAAUAAACGCUGUUGUAUGAGUUGUUGGUUAACUAAAAUGUAUCGUUUUCCAUAUAUAUGUGUGCGUGUGUGUGCGUGUGUAAUGUUUGGUUGGCUAGUAAUUAAAACUUAUUAACUAACUGCUUUUGUUUACUUUCAUUUUUGGUAAUGAACACAAAGAUUUAGACCUCGUCAUCUGGUCCGUUGAUCUGAUCCUGCUGAGCACAUACACAAUCUUAUGAUAAAACGAUAGAUAAAAAUAGAACGGCGAAUACGAGGGGCGCUUGUAGUUCAAAUGAAGUCAGUAUAUACAAUAAUUAUUUCCAUUUAUGUGGCAACCGUAUAUGAUAAUAUAAAAAUAUACACAAUAAGUAUCCUUGAUUUGAAUUUUUUUUAAAAAAUGUACACAUCUCCCAAGGUAACUAACUCCAACGACUCGUAUAUACGUACAGCGGUUAUUGUAAUUUCACCAACAUCAACACUUCAACGGACCCCUACGGUUUGGACAUUAUGAAGAACCAAUUCAACAAACCUAACUCAUACGUAGUAUUCGUAUAUAUUGUUAUACUCUUCAUCCUUAAUACUAAUAAUUCUAAUUUUCUAUUACCGUCUUCCUGUUUCGAUACCAUUUAUUAUUGUUUUAAACAUUUUAGUCGUUUUCGGUGUAUGUUAUCUUAUUUCUUAGAUUAUUAUUACACGUGUAUUCAUACUUAUAUAACUGUUUAAGAAACACACGUGGCAAGAAUUUAAGAAAAUGAGAUCUACACAAUAAAAAUACCUAAAAGUUUCUCCAACAUCGCAUAUAUAGUAUCUUGACUAAAAAUAUCCAAUCAGAUAACGCGAUCGCAUUUCGAUCGAAUCUAUAGAUAAUGCGAUCGCAUUUAGAUCGAUCGCAUAAAUUACGGACUGAGUUCACAUCUGCAAAUAAAUUUUCUUUGUUUUUAUUCUAAUUUUUCGUACUUUCAUUAAUCAUAAUCUUGAUUUUAAGCCACAAUAUUGAUUUUUUUAACCUUUACAUUAAUAUUUUCAAAUUACUUGGUUAAGAUCCGUAGUCAAAAAUUGCACACAAGUAACCACACUGUACGUCAGCGUUCGUUAGUGUAGGGACCACGUAUACAAGUAACAAAUAACAAACACAUCCUCCUUAAAAACAUAUCUCAACCGUCCAGUAAAUCAACGGCUCUUACCGUAUCUUCAUCCCAAAAUCCCUCCUUUUAACCCCACUUCCCCCCACCCCCUCUCUCACGCUAAAACCAAAAAGCAGAAGAAAAUCAGAGAGACAGAGAGAUAUGGAAGAUUGUACGAAAAGUACGAAGCGAAUUGCAGGAAAUGUAGUGAAAACGGGAGAAGAAGCAGCGGCAGCAGUAGAAGCAGAAGCUUCAAACGCAAGCUUAUCAUCAAAGAAAACAAAGUUAACUUCUCAAGAAGUGAAGUUACCUUCGCUCGAAAACGGUGACUCCUUCGUCGUUUCGCCACACAAAACGUCAUCGACAUCUGAUUCCGUCUCCGAGAACUUCUCAACUUCUCGCUCCUCCAGCGAUGACGUCAUCAAAUCUGCAGAUCUAAAGGUCAAUUUUAAACUUCAAAUGUUCAAAAUUGCAAUCUAUUAUUUUUUUUUUCAAAUUUUUAUGUCAUUAUUGUUUUAACGUAUUGCUUCCAAGAUAUCACGCAAGAAGUUGUUAUUUGAAACACUGAAAUUUCCGCUACUCAUGCUUUUAUUAUUUUUCUGCUUAUAGUCAUAAAUUUCACGUUUAUUGAAGGCUCUUAAUUAUUUUAUAAAUGUUGCAGGCCACGAGCUUUGAAACCGAAGUCUCAACGUGCAACAACAAAUUCAGGUUUUAAAUUGCUUCCAUUUAUGACCGAAAAUGCUAAGCGAAUCGUCGUUUUAAGCAUCCGGUUCUUCAAUUUUCUUUACGUUUCCAAACGGUUUCUUACACUAACCAAACUUUUUCUUUUACGUUUUCAAGCAAGGAAGAAACAAGUCCGCUGAGCGAGAUUUGCGGGGACUCGGAGGAUCAGACCUCAAUGGACAAGCCGUCGAAGACUCCUCCAGAGUCUCACAGGAGGAAGCCGUCAUCGGAGGAGGAGAAGAUUCCGUCAGCGGCGGAGAUCGAUGAGUUCUUCACUGCAGCUGAAAAGCGCGAGCAGGAACGUUUCGCUGAGAAGUAAGUCCUCCGUUUGUUAAUUUUUACGGCGUGUGCAGGAUAAGGAGUGGCGCAUACAGUGCGCAUUUUAGCAGUCGUAUAUAAUCGAAUAUCGUAACAAACUUGUGAUCUCUCUUUUUUUUUUUUUUUUAUGAUUUUAUUUUCAGGUACAAUUACGAUAUUGUGAAUGAUUUGCCGCUUGAAGGCCGCUACCAGUGGGUUCGUUUGAAUGAAGCCUCGAAAUGAUUAAAGAGAGAGAGAAAUUAGUUAUGAUAGAGAAAGAAAGGCUAACCUCACACAAGGUAGAAUAGAAAAUGUGAAAACUGACAAAAGAAACAAAAAAUGGGGGGGUUGUUAAUGUUUAGUUUAUUUUGUUAAAGCUGGUUUGUUACAUUGUACAGCAUUAUCUUUUUAUUUAAUUUUAAUUUCUAAUUUUAUCUUUUUAAUGUAACAGAAAUGAAGCUUUCUCUCUCUUUCUCUCUCUCUGUCUGAGUCUAUUGACUCUUUGUUUCAGGCUUCAGCACAAAAAUACAUAUCCAAAGAAGCUUCUUAUUAUUCUGCAGUUGAAUGAAUUUUGAUCUUUCUGAGCAAUGUGAGGCAUUAAUUGAAGAUGAUGAAUUUGGCCUGUUUAUAUACAUAUAUAUAUAUAUUAUCAUAUAUAUAUAUAAAUGAAAGGUGUCCUUUGUUUGAGCUCCUCUUGGCUGGUUGUGACAUUAUGCCUUGCGUUCUUCUGUUGCUUGUGUUUGAUUGAGGCUAAAUUUGGAAUAUUCGCUUGAAAUAUCAGGAUAAGAUUCCUUUACAGCAAAAUGAUUACCAAUAUGGGGUGCUUCUUCUGUGGACUGUAACCGUGUGGGGACGGCUCCUCACAGAGGCACCAAAACCUGGAUAAAAGAAAAAGCAGCACGCAUUUGGUGAUUUGUUUCUUCAGCAACCGAGCUUGAAUUUGCACAAACAUUAGACUUUAAUGAGCCAUUAUAGUGCAAGAAAGGUGGGUUUAGUGCAGUUAGCACAUGGUAAUGAAUGUAGCAAUUAAAAAGAAUUGGUCACCCACAUUUGGGUAAUGAUAUUACAACAAAAGCCGACAAGAUUUGCUGGUAUUUGCUCUUUUAAGUAGAAAAGCAGGACCCUUUUUCACGUUCUAGAGCGCCCAUUGUCCUGGAUGCUCAAGCCAUAAACAAAAAAGUAAAACGUAACACAACUUUGUUACAAAAGUUUGAUGCAAUGCCUCAAAAAAGAGAAAUAAAUUUUUUAUAUCUGUUAUGAUUGCGAAGAUCAGAAUUGACAGAGCAGCGCAGCCAGGGAUAACAGAGAGCCAGAGCGAGGCGUUAAAUGACACGUGUCAGAAUCCCAAAAAAGCAGCCUCAUUCCAUGUGAGUGUACAUUUUUUUUUUCCAGUGCAAAAAAAAAAUUAAAAUUAACCAAGAGAAAAUAAGACUUUUAAAAUUUUUUAAAGAAGAAAUUGAAAGUGAGGAUUGCACGUGCCUUGGUGAGUGAGGGUCUCCUGAGUUAAUUUGCUUUGGAUCUGGUGACCAGUUUUGAGAGUGCGACGGGAAAUGGGAAUCACAGAAUGUUGCUUAUUAAUGAAGAAUUAUAAAGUGGUUUUGUUCUCUCCUUACGAAACUGAUAUGGUUCUUACCAGGAAUUAUUGCGAAUUUUUUAUUUCAUCAAGGCUGUUGUUAAUUGUUUAUUUCAGGCUAAAAUUUAAUUUUAUCUUCGGUGAUUUUUUUUUUUUCCUUUAAACUGAGAAGCAGUUGAAGUUGGCCAUGUUGUGGGUAUAUGCCAAAUUGCCAUCACAAUAUUUUAUUUUUGGUCAAAGUUUGAGAUAAAGCGGAGAGUAAUUUUAUUGAUUUCAUCAUGUACAAAUAUUCUCGUUCUGUUAAUAAUGUGUAGAUAAUAUUUUCUUAAACGAGAGGCCCAUCACUUUUAUUUCUCUUUUGUGGUCUUUUCUGUUUGUGAUCUGCAUUAUUGGACUAGCCCAAUUACAACAAUUUUACAGCACAUGAUAAGAGUCGAGUAAAUUGUGAAUGAGAUGGUCGAUUUGGUACUCAAUGGGCCCGGCAAAUUCAGAACUAGAAAUUGAUGAGCUGCAGGCCACCAGAUUGGUACUUUUUCGGUGUUCUCUGUCACAGCCAUACAUGCCAGGGAUUUUAGUACAAUUUUCAGUGCCUGUGACAUGUCAGAAUAGCUCAAUAACAGAAAGCUAUGGCGGCGAAGAGAAGUUGAAGAGUUUUGAGCUUAUCAAACUAGUUAUCCCAAGCAAUAGUUCUUUGUAUUUUCUUUUUCUUUUCUUUUUUUGUUAACAGAAAGUUUAUUGUUUUGACGUAAAAUAUAAUUUAAGCUGUCGUAAGACAAUGAAAAUGGUAGUGUAUGAACCUCUUGUGAGAUUUAAUACAAGCAUCAAUAAUAUUAUUGUCCAAACUUCAAGCAGCCUGAAAAUUGAAAAAAAAAGUUGAUUUGGAGUUAUAUAUAUUUAAAAAAUUAAUUAUGCGUUCUUUUACUAAUUAUUAUAUUCUUUUUAUUUAUUUAUUUAAUCUUAGUUCUUCAAAUCCAUUGUAGUCACCAGGCAGUUCAGUCAGGCACGUGUGUCUAUUUGCCAACAAAAUCUUCAUCUGGGCCUGAAACAAAUACUACGGACUGAUAAAAUAUGAAAGCCAAUUUUUUUAGCUUUUCUGGUCUUUGGGCCCGGAGCUCGUACGUAAGCCGGACAGAAGAAGUAUUGAUUUGGUAACGUGAUUUUUAUCAUUACGAGUUAACAAUAUUAAUUUUAUUAAAUGAUUGAGGAAGCAUACUCGGUAAUGCCAAAUUACCUACCUAUAUAUAAUUUUUUUUUAUCACAUUAGAUGUAAAUUAUAAAUAUGAGUAAAGAGUGACGAUAUAAUCACAAAUUCUUAUAUAAAUUUAUUUUAUACAAACUGAUUUGAAAUUAAUUCAUUGAUUGAAUAAAAAUAUAAAAUAAUAAAAAUGAAUAAUGUGAACCAAGGAAUAUCUAAUCCAACCAAUUAACUUACGCCAUAUCAAUCUGUACAACAAUUUGUGACUAUAUUAUUACUUAUGAAUAAAUUAUAACUCAAUAUAUUUUGUUGAAAUCUAAAAUCAUUUCAAUAUUUAUCAUGACCUGCUUCGAUAUAUCAAAGUUAAAAUUCACGUUAAAAAAAAUAUAUCAAAAAAUAUGGAAUGACUGGAAUACUCAAUUUUAUGAAUCACUAAUUUUAAUUUUUAAUGUUAUUGUGUCAUAAAACAAAAUCCAAUAUUGGAUGUGUGAGGUAACCGAAGAAUUGUAAAAGGACUCCAAGAACACGUACGCGCACACCUGCUGGCUGCCAGUCACAAAAGCCAACCUGGCUGUUAGUCUAAUCAAUCGCUCACGUCACGGGAAGCGCCGUCAAUCCGACGCCGUAACACCUAAUCCUAAUUCCCAAUCCCAUCCGGCGCAUAAUAACCUUCCUAUCCUAAUAUGCGCGUGAUGCAUAUCAUCUGACGUGGCGUCUUGGCCUUUCCCACUUCACCAAUCUGGCUCGCUCACUCAUUCAUCUCUUCACCAUCAGCAAAAACAAAAUCAGUUUCUAAAAUCAACCACCACAAGUUCUUUAUUUUAUUUUUUUUCCCUUCUAAAUAAAAAAGAAAAAUAAAAUAUGUACGGUCACGGCAGUAUUAAUAGUGACGGCAGUAGCCUGUAUUGGGGGCGGAAAGCGGCGUCGUUUCGCGGGAUUGUUGUCCUUUUCUCUUGGGUAUCGGUUCAUGAACAGCAGCUCAGAAGCUUCGUCGAUUUGUACUCCUCGCUGGGAUGGAAUUCGCUUGUUUCCAAUUCUCAUUUUCUCGACGCGUAAGUUUCAGUGAUUGUAAAGGUUUUACUUUUUAAAUUUUAUUAUUAUUAUUAUUAUUAUUAUUAUUACUNNNNNNNNNNNNNNNNNNNNNNNNNNNNNNNNNNNNNNNNNNNNNNNNNNNNNNNNNNNNNNNNNNNNNNNNNNNNNNNNNNNNNNNNNNNNNNNNNNNNNNNNNNNNNNNNNNNNNNNNNNNNNNNNNNNNNNNNNNNNNNNNNNNNNNNNNNNNNNNNNNNNNNNNNNNNNNNNNNNNNNNNNNNNNNNNNNNNNNNNNNNNNNNNNNNNNNNNNNNNNNNNNNNNNNNNNNNNNNNNNNNNNNNNNNNNNNNNNNNNNNNNNNNNNNNNNNNNNNNNNNNNNNNNNNNNNNNNNNNNNNNNNNNNNNNNNNNNNNNNNNNNNNNNNNNNNNNNNNNNNNNNNNNNNNNNNNNNNNNNNNNNNNNNNNNNNNNNNNNNNNNNNNNNNNNNNNNNNNNNNNNNNNNNNNNNNNNNNNNNNNNNNNNNNNNNNNNNUUUUUGGGGGGGGGGGGGGGGAAGUGAAAGUUAAGAAACAUGCUGAACAGAGCUAUUUACUCUUAAGAUUUUGUCGUUUUGUUUUAUUUGAUUGACACUGUCUCAAUGGAUAAGAAGUUCUUUGAUGAGAUGGUUUUAAUUAAUUAUUUACUUAUUAUUCGUAGGAUUGGUAUGGGGGGUUGUUGGGUAUCAAUAUUUUUUAGUGGAAAUCCUUGUGUGGUAUUAAAAGUUAUUUUGUUGAAAUUAUUGUGCAGAUUUUAUCCCGAGAGGGCUACUUCACUUGCAUUUGUUCUUAUCAACGAGCUGGUCGAGGUCAGUUUCAUUUUAAUUGCCAAAUUUAAGCUUUUCAUGAAGUGUCAGUGAAUAUGCGUAACUCUUGUUGAAUGUAUUGGAAGUAGCUCUGAAUUAGCAAUCUCUGAAAUCUUUAGAGUAAGGUUGCUUGAAAUGGGCAUUUGUGCUUCUUGGCUUCGUAUGUUAGUGCUUUUAUAUAUGGAUUUAAAUCCUUUUCCUAUUUUUGGUACGCAGGAGCUAAGGAUUAAAACAUGUCCAGUAGUCUUUGUUGCUCUUUCUGGUGGUACGAAAGCUUGCAUGCACAAGGCUUUUCAGGUAAAUUUAGUGAAAUAUUUGAUGCACAAUCUAUGUAGCAUGUCGACAAGUUACAAUGAUAUUUUUGUUAUAGUUCCUAAUGUUUGAAAUGCAAGUUGUAUUUGUUCAACUGAAGGCGUGGAAAUAAUAUUACUAUAUGUGAUAAUGCAGAUUAUUCAGGCAACAUGUGAAGGUCAGCUGAAUUUGGUAUGCAUUUUUUCUCUUCUGGGUUUAAUUAAAAUAGUGGGUCCAAUUUGAGUUUGUAUUAGUGAAUCAAAUUCAAGUACUUUGUAUCUGAUAUUUUCCCCCCAUUUCCUAUUCUAAUGAAGGACGAAAGUCGAUUGAUCAGAAGUUGUGUUGCUGGACAAAUCUAUGAUUCUAGCCCUGUAGAUUUUACCAGUGAUUUUUGUGCCCGAUUCGGUCUCCAUCCCACCAUUCAGAAAAUUCCUGGAUUGUCAAAACUUGUGUCUUGGGUUGCUAAAGGUGUUACUUCUGGUCUUGAUGGUUUAUGUCUUACUAGGUUUGAACCUCAACGUGCUGAAUAUUGGCGGGCUUUGUAUAACUCAAUUGUAAGUUUCUAUCUUCCCUGCAUGAAGUUGUCUUUUGCUCUAUGCUCUCAAAUCUAACAUUUGUCUGUCACUAAUUAGGACCUGGGAACCCCAUUUUUAAUCAUAUGCUCGGACAAUGAUGAACUUGCACCUCAACAAGUUAUCUAUAAUUUUGCCCGACAUUUACUAGCACUUGGCGGAGAUGUUAAGCUUGUGAAGUUGAAUGGCUCUCCUCACAUAGGUUUGUCUCAAAUCCAUUUUUUGUUUGUUGUUACAACAAGGUUGUGUUAUCUAAUCAUUUUUAACUAUUCUUAUCAGGAUUGAAUGCAAAUCGAGAGAAUAUGUAUUUUGCUUAUCAAGUGUCUUUGAUUGUUCACAAAUAUGACUAUUUAAUGUCAUAUGAACAGUAGAGCGUCAAAAGUUAAAAAGCAAGUGUUUAAGCAAGUAAUAUGCUGAGUGCUGUGCCCUACAGAUUUUCUGGAUUAGUCCAUAUUCAAUCAACUAAUUCAAAGGGAUAAUAGAUUUAUGAUUUUUUCCCAAUUCAUAUGGACAAUCAUGAAAUUUCAAAGUCCUUGGUGGUCAACCUAAUGUCGGAACCAUUGAUGCUAGUCAGUGUUACCAUACGUCAUUCUAUGAAUUAGGUUUAGGUCUGCAGAAGGUUAUGGGUCUGAGUUCAAAGAUGAUUAUUGGUGAAUUAAUUGUACUCAUCAACUUUGUUAUUCAUCGAGACAUGGUGUAUGCAUUAGAGAUUGAAUAUUAGAAAAAUGUGGUUGUAAACAGUUUAAAUGAUAAAAAAACCCGGGCAACCUUCUCAUGUUUAUAGGUAUACAACAAGAGUCCUUUUCUAAUAGCCAAGAGGAUGAGUACUCCAUGGUGAUUUGGCUUGAAUGGUUAGAAGUGUUAACUCCUAUAAUAUAGGAAGAGCAUGAUCAGCAGUUCCCCUUAUUUUUGAAUGUUGUACUGUGCGUUUCUCCUUACAAAGUGUUUUGCUUAAUGAUAUGUGGUUGUGUACUAAGGUUGAAUUGAUGUCAUUUUUGGUGCUUCAGGUCAUUACGAGUAUUACCCUAUUCAAUACAGGGCCGCUAUAACCGGUUUGCUUGAGAAGGCUGCUUCAGUUUAUUCCCAAAGAAUCCGACAACUUGGUGAAAUAUCUGGCAUGGAGGGUACGCAUGAUGAGAUAUCUGAGCUAAUAUGUGACCUUCAAAAUGUUGCAGUUAAUUCAAACCAAAGCCUAAGAAGAGUUGCUGUGGAGCCGAGUGACCACUUCUUCUUGCCAAGUUCAACUGAGCCUCACAGUCAAGAAUCUGGAUCUUUACAAGAUGAACGAAAUUCAAGAUCAGUCUAUCUGCCUACCCCAAGCAUUAGUGCACACAGUGUUCUCGGUGAAUUCCUUUUUGAUGUUUGUGUUCCAAAGAAUGUUGAAGGUUGGGAUAUUAGAUUUUCAGGUUCUGUAAACGGGCAGCCAUAUGCCUCUGCUCGUAGGCAUUCACCUUUCAACAAAUUCAUAUGCAAUCUUCGCUCAAGGUUAUAAUGUCGUAAAAAUUAGACUUUUGAAGAAACUCUGCGGUGGACUUUGCACUUUGCAUAUCUUGUUCAGAAGCUUAGCAUAAAGCUAACUAAAUCCCUAUCAUCGAAGUAGGAUCUGGAAGAGUGUAUCACCGGUGAGGUACUUGUCAGCUACAAUGCAUUGUCAGUGAGGUCUUUUGGAGUUUUGUUGGAUAACUGGGUCCUUUGCCCUUCUUUAGGUUUGUGGUUAACUCUCUUGGUAUGAAGUGUACAGGAAUUGAAGGGAGCAUAAAUAUUUGAAUAGAAUGCAGUACAUGUAUCUCUCAUGAACCAUAAAGUUAUCCUGGAGACUUGUUGAUAAUCCUGGAGUAGUAAAUAUGUACAUAUAUAUAUGUAUGUUUCUAUGCAUGUAUAUGUCUGUAUCAUGCGGAUGAGGAGCUUGCUGAUCAUUGAAUAGGUGUUGCUGUGUGUUCUGCAAAUGGCGUUGAAAUUUGGGAAGCAGAAGAUGUAAUUGGUAUCAUCUGUGUACAAAGAUCUUUUUGGUGAUCUUAGUGCAAAUUGGUUCUAAAAUAAUCUGUAUAUGGCUAUAGAUGUUUGAACAUGAGGCUGAAGUUUGAAAUUUUCCCCUCUUCCCUCCCAACCCUUUAAUAUUCUUUAGUAUGUCGACAAGAAGCUUCGUGUUCAAUAUAUAUUAAUGUAAUUUUUCUGCUCUAUAAUGUUUGAGUUGAAUUUUGUAUCCUCUCUAUUUCAACAGAUGUACCCGAGAACACGGCAGUUAUCAAAAAUAUUUUGUUGAAAGAACAUUCUGUGUCGAUUCCUGGAUUCUGAAAUAUGUGUGAUGCUCUCGCUUUCACGAAGACUAAUCCACUCGGGAAAAAUAAAACAAAAAAAGACAAAAGCCUAGAAAACUCAGAAACAUUUUGCAGGGCAAGAAUGCCAAGUGCCUUUCAUGUAUUCAUUCGUAACGCAAGAUUUUUGCAGUAUAGUUGGAAUAUUUUGGAGCCCUUUUUAUUAGUCUUCUGGGAUCAUAGGAUUGUAGUCAACAUAAACAUAAAUUAAAAGCUGACCAUGAGUUUGCAGCUUUGCUAUUUUUUGGCUGGGGGUCUUUCCUGGGGACCAUGCCUGUGGCUGUGGUCCUGUGGAUUUGGACAAGCCAUUUGGUUCUUAUUAAUCUUUUGCAUUCCAUUGGACAUAGUUUUGACCAAAGAUUACGGGCAUGUGAUAUUCUUGUAGUCUUAUUUUGAUUGCAAUAUUAGAAAACAAAAGCCCCACAUAUCCUGUGAAUAUUACAACCUUUUUCUAUACCUAUUAGUUUCAUCUAUUUAAUACACAGGAAACACAAGCACAGUUGAGAGUUGAGAAAACAAAUAGGACUCUGGAGGCCAGACGACAUCAGUUUGAUGCAACCCGUACGACCAAAAAGUUUAAAUGAUGAUCAUUAAUCCACAGCUUGUGUAGUAUUCAGAAAAUUUUGGAUCCAACUUCUGUCACUUUAGAUAACCCGCAGUUUGUUUUUGCUUCAAUAUAGUAGAGCAAAUCUAUGGGCCCAAUCUGUUUGUAUUUCAGUUAUUUUUUAUUAUUUGUAAGUAGCUGUGAAGUGAUUCUCCUUGAUCUCUUCAAAAGCUCUUUUGGAUAUUAAACCUGAAGAAGAUAACGAUCCUUCAGGACGAAAUUAAAGUGUCCAGAAUCUCUCGUCCACAAGAUAUGGCGACACAAAAAAGAGUGAUGGCACUAAAUCUAAUCUUGAGUGUGAAAGAAAUUAAUCAGUGUGUGACUGCUGGCUCCGACAAUGGACCAAGGAUCAGAUUCAGUCAUUCAACAAAUGAAGCUAUGCUUAAAAAUAUUAGUAAAUUGGCUGCUGCCAUCAUUUCUGAGGCUAGGAACAGUGUAAAACUGUAUAUACUACAAGAACUUGUAACGUUUCAGCCCUUCUACUGCUAUGCGAAUGGAGAAAAAUUUGUAGUUGCUUUGAACAUUUGCAAAGGCUCUCCUAUAAAAUCAAAUUAUUCUAUCCAAGAGAUUAUUUUGAGAAACAAAACUAGAGCGAAACCAUGAAAAUUAUACAGACUGAGAUGAGAGAACUCUUGAAGUCUUGAUCAUUGAAACCUUUGGAACAAAAUGAGGGCCAAAAUCUAAAUACUGAGAGGCAUCAGUUCAUGUUAUAGCUCCUUGCUUAAAGGUAAGUCAUUAAAAAUAAGCUUCUGGUGGGUAUUUUUUGGUAGUAGACAGUAGGGGUCACUCAAGCUUCAAUUAAUUAAACCUCAGAAAUAAACUUCCAAACUUGUUCAAAUGAGAAAUGAUUAUUGUGAAAAUUAUGAUGAUUUUCUUUGGUUGGAAGCCAGUCAGACCACAUGCUUUCACUACAAUAUAAAUAGAUCCCAAGGGAACUAAUAAAUACACUACUAGCACAAAAUUCGCAAAGCAUUUUUUUGGACUUGUCAACCCCAAUCUAACGCACGCUCCUCAGAAAUUCAACCAUAAUUCAGAAGCUUUGAUGAUACAAGUAAAGCAACUUUUUAAUUUUGUAUUUCUUUUUCUUCACAUUGUAUUAAAUUUCUCAUUCCACGUCCUUACAUUUGUAGGGUGUCACCUAUUUUUUUUUAAUUUUUAAUCAUUUUGUUGGACUUGGGGUUGAGAUUACCACUUUUUUACUAGGUAACCUAUCUUGAUUAUUGAGAAUCUUAGAAAAUUUUAAUUAAUUACAAAAAAAUAAAAAAUAUAUAAUAGGAAAAUUUUCCUGAAAAUUUCAUUAAACCCUUCUUCUUAUUAGUUUUUUAAAUUAAAGAAAAAUCUAACAGCAAAUUCGGAUUAUAUCAGGACCCAAAACCUUUUAACACGUUACCUGUCCGAAAUAAAUCCACUUUAGUAACUUAAACCAUUAUUAUUUACAAGAAACUAGAAACGGAGCCGCUGCUGCGGGAACUCACGCACAGGACUUCUGCAGAUUCAGUUUCAGAACUGAAACCCUCCCCGCUUUUGUUGUAAUGGAAGAGCAAUCAGAGCCAGAAACCCCUCUUCUCCAAACCACCAAGGUCUCCUUUCUUCUUCUUCUUCUUCUUCUUUUUUUUUUUUUAAUUUCCAAUUCGUUUAUGCAUCUUUUGAUUUUGAGUGUUUAUGUUUUGAAUCUGUUCAUUUGGUGCCAGAUUAAGAGAAAGAAGACAGCUGAGAGCAAGAUGAAGCUAACCCAGGUUAGUGAGAAGCCUCUGGAUCCGGAUUCCACACCUGAACUUGUGAGAGAAUCUUCUUUUAUAGCACCCCAUCUGCUUGAAAUUUUUGUUCAGGUUUAAUCUGGAUUUUGUAUUCUUUAUUGGAAAUGGUAUCCACAAUCAUUUGACAAUUUUUAGCUUAGUAAUUUCUGUUUUAGAGUAAUAAGCAGGGUUAUCUUCAGGAUUUUGUUCUCUUUUUGCUCUUCUUUUUCGAUAUUUUGGGGUUUUUUCAGUUUUGGUCAUUUUUGCUUUCAGAAAAAGAUAGGUCUUACCAUUGCUGCGUUUCUGCAAUUACUUCAUAUCUGUGCUGGCUUUCGAUUUUACAGCUGUUGAAUAGUAUCAUUAGUCUUUGAUUCUUUUAACUCAGCAUUCUAGGUUAUCAUUUUGGUGUUCUGUUUAUUCCUGAUGCUGUCUGCAUCAAUAUUUAUUGUGGCUGUUGUUGGUGAAUUUGAGAUGGGGUUUAGAUGUGCCUAGGGAUUAGUCUAGGGUUUUAUGAGUUCUGAACAUAUAUACAAGCACAAAUAGGAUACCCAUUUCCCUUUACUGUUAAUCCCUUCAGGCUGCCACCUUCAAUUUAUUUCAAUAGCUCCCAUGGGCCUGGAGGAUGAGAGAAAGAAAAUUUACAUGUGUGAACAGGGUUUCCAUUUUCGUAGUGCUUCACUCACACCCUGCUCAGCCCUUUCAUGUGUACACUAUUCUUUUUUGGUGCUAACUCUAGUUAGCUUUGGGUAAUGCAAACUCUGGAUUCAUUUUGAUAGCCGCAUCUUGCUCUAGGUGAUAACCUUGCAACCGGAAUCGGAGAUUUCAAGCCUGCUCUCAGUUUCUGCUACCAAAUUUCAUCAACUUAACAUAUACAACUAGUCCUAUAUCUUUUGUGAGAUCGUAACAUACCUAUGAGAGCUUGAAAUCACUUUCUAUAUAGGUUUAGAAGUGCAUUAUUUCGUUGGUAGACAUAUGCCAGGAAUAGAGUUUCUGAUGUUCUGAUGUGUGUAUUUUUCCCCCUUUUCUUACACAUUUUUUAUAAGUAAGAAAUGGACUAUUGUCUUUCUCAUCUAACUUCAAUGGUGCACAACCUUCAUAUGGGUGUUCAACAUCAUAAUAUUAUUAACUUUGAAGCCAAAUCUAUGUGGUUAUGCUCUCAAACUGGCAACCUAGAUUGAAGUUUGUACAUGCUUUUCUGGAUAUUUUAAAUACAUUUAUCUUGGAAAAAUUAGAAAUGUAACGUGUAUAUUACUUCACCAUCAAAUCUUUUUGCAAAUGGAAUGAUUUAUAUGAUGUUAUUGUUCUUAUAUAUCCAAAUGAUAAAUUAAUGAAAACUUUGUGCAUUUUCUGGCAGGGAGCAUUUGAUAGUUCAAAGGAGUCUAAAAGGUCUGUGAUUUUAUCUAAAGUCAUUGGCCUUACUUUCAAUCAUUAUGAAUUUCUUUUUUUUUUUUUUUUGCAACUCAAUCAUUACGAAUUUCAAAGUUAUAUUUGUUAUAUUGAUUCCUUUAAAAUAUACCAUAAGCAGUAGACGGAAGAGAGCUAUGAUUGAUGACCUCUAUGAUCAUGCCAAAGUUAAUUCGCCGGUAAUAGAGCGAGCAGAAGAGGUUCGAGCAAACUUAGCACCUAGCUACCCAAGCUUUUGGAAAGCUAUGGUUAAGUCAAAUGUUAGUCAUGGAUUUUGGCUGGUAAGCCUAAUAAUAUUCUGUCCCAAAUUUACAAAUGCCAUAAUUCCUUCAGCUCUGGAAUGAUUUAUUUCUUCUAACUUGUUUGGUGGCAGCAUCUUCCCAUGCGAUUCUGCAAAUUCAACAUGCCAAAGAUUGAUACAGUAUUUAUUGUGGAAAAUGAAAGUGGGGAAGAAUACAAAAUAAAUUAUAUUUCCCAAAGGACAGCAUUGAGUGGUGGAUGGAAAGCAUUUUCUGAUGCAAACCAAUUAUAUGAGGGCGAUGUUUUAGUUUUCCAUUUGGUUGAACCUACAAGGUUUAAGGUGACACUCAGAUCUUUAUGUUCUAUAUGUACAUGUUACAAUUUUCGUGUAAAUCCUUGAUUUUAUUAGUAUCUGUCUUAGCACCUCAUUUUGGAAAAAAGAAUUAUUAGGAAGAAGCAUUCAACUUUGUGGUUUUUUCAUAUAGCUUCACAGACAAAUGGAAUAAAAGCAGCUGAAAUGUGCACCAGAUAUAAAACCCUAGCAAUGGCAAAUCUGGCUGAUAGUUGUUUUUUUCAAUCCUCUAAAAUGACCAUAUUUAAUUUUGCAUUGAAAUAAAUAGAUCAUUUAACAUGCAGGAAAACCAUCUUUCACACGUACAUGCCCAUGUUUAUUGGGCAUGAUUGGGUAAUGUGGCAAAAGUCCAUUCUAUCAAAUGAUGAGUACAAUUGGAACAGAGAGAAUGUGAUAAAUUAAUUUGAUAUCUAAUUAAUGAUGCAAAGAUAUUUUCCUGAGUUCUAUGAAAAUAAGGAUGCAUGUUUCUCUACAUGUGGAAGUUGGGCCCUUUAAAUUUUUUUGUGAUAGGUCUUUAAUUUAAUUGUUGCAUUCUCCAUUCAUGCAGGCAUACAUAGUGAGAGCAAAUGGCUUUGGGAAUGUAAAUGCUGAUGCAAAACCACUAAAUUCUGGUGUGUUUCCAUAUAUCUGCUUUUAGCCACAUUACGCUUAUAAGUGAUUAAAAAGUUGAUUUAAUUUAUUUACAGUUCCCAUGGAUGAUGAGCUUGAAGUAGCCCCAAAAGAUCACUCGGAGAAGCGUGUGAAGAAAAACAAAAGGGCAAAACGUGUAAAGCCUCCUCCAGGCUUUCACCGAGACAACAAUCAAAACAAUAGUCUGAUGCUAUUAGAAACCAAUAAUGGACAUGUGGAAGAUCAGUUUAAUAAUGACACUGAGGAUCUCGGCCCUAACAAAGUUCUACCACAUUCAGAAUCCAGUAAUUUUAAAGAAAUGAAAAGCAUUGAUGAUUUCACCAUUCUUGUGGAUGGUUUGGCUAUUGACCAUGAGCUCUCUGAUCAACAUAGGAGUAAAUACUAUGACCUCUGCUGCUCUCAGAAUUCCUUUCUGCAUGACCAUCUACUCAAGAGCAUUAACUGUAAAUUGGCUGCUGAAAUAAUCACCCAGACUGUCAACAUUGCAGAGGCCAUUAGAGCUUGCAACCUUUCCACCUCUCGAGCUGAUUAUGAGAUUUGGGACAAAACUUUGAAGGGAUUUGAGCUGUUGGGAAUGAAUGUUGGAUUCUUACGUGCUCGAUUAAACAGGUUGAUGAGUCUUGCUUUUGAAUCAGAGGAGUCUGAGGUAUCAAAAAGGCUUAGAGAAGUGAGUGCAGAGCAAGCUCGUGCAGAAGAGGAGAUGAGAAGUCUUGAAUUGAAACUCUUGAGAUUGAAAGAGACAAUGGGAAGGCUUGACUCCGAGUUAGAGUCACUGAAGGUAAAAGCUGAGAAGCAUGAGCUUAAGUUUCAGGAGGAGGCUAAUGCUCCUUGGUGACUAGAUACUUUGUGUUUAACAAUGACUGUUGUUUGUUAGGAUAAGGAAAUAUUUCUCAUAAUAUAUUAUUGCUGUUGUUGUUUCUAUUCUAUUUAUUGUUGUUUAUUAGGUGACAGUGCCGGGCCAGCGAAAUCUGGUGAUUGUAUCAGUUUGUACUUUGUACUAACUUUCCAGAUUAUAUACUGUGUAAAUACAGUGAAAUUUAGCUAGCUUAUAAGAGUUAUCAUGAGAGAAGUCGUAAACAGUUACAAAGCUUGCCAACUGAUGUCCUGAUAUAUUAUGCAGUCAGUACUACUUAUGAUCGUCAUUUUCUGAUCUUUGAAUGAGCCUUUUGAUGAUAUCUGAAAUCAUCGUAUCAUUGAAAUCAAACCCUUCGUCUUUUUAUAUAGAUAAUAUCCUUUUUUUUUUUUUUUGUGAAACUUAUAUUUUUUGUUUUUAAUAUUUAUAUUUGUUAUUUUGAUUUUAACUUAAAUGAUUUAUUUAGUUUAUAAAAAAUAUGAAUAAAAGUAUAUUUAAAAAUCAGGGUUAUAGAUGAAAGGGCUAAUGUCAUCUAGGUAUGUUUCAACAAAUAUAAAAAAAGUGAUGCAAUUUUUAAAAAUAGGCAAACGGUUGACAAAUCGUUAACUUUUGUCGUUAAUUGUAACGAUGAAAGGGCAAAAUGGGAACAACUGAUAUAAAUAAUAGAAAUGGGAAGGGUUAAUGUCACCUAGGCGACACAUGUAUCAAUCUUUAUCUCACAAGUGAUAAUUGUUUUGAAAAUACUCCUACAAGUGACAAACCGUUAACUUCUACUGUUAACUCUAGCAAUGCAAAAAUGUUGUAAUUGAUAGAGAACAUUAGGAAAAGAUGUUGAUAGAGCUUUGUUGAAAAAUGUAUUGGAUAUCUUUGUUGCAAUUGGACUGGAUAGACAGUUUGGUUGCUAUGAAUAGGAUUUUACAAGAACAAGUGUUUACUAAGCCAUCAUAUUAGAUUCUGAAGAUUUGAUUCUAAUGUUUGUAAAAUUAGUGCCACUGAGAUUUAAAAAAGAUAUCAGAUUUAUAUUAAGAUUCAUGAGAGAUUUGCUUCUUCUUUUAUGUUAAAAAAUUAGUUUGAUUCAACAAGAAUUUUUUAAAAUAUUAGUUUGAUUUGACCCCAAACAAAGCCCAGAUUUAAAUUUAGCAAAUCUCUCAUGAAUCUUAAUAUAAAUUAGUUUGAUUUGACCUCAAACAAAGCCCAGAUUUAAAUUUAGCUUAUAUUUUUUAUAAAAUAAAAUAAAAAAUCAAUGAAAAGGGGUAGAAACAUUAUUUUCUAAUUAACUUACCACUUUUCUUUGAGUUAACGAUAGAAAUUAAGGUUUGUUACAUAUAAGAGUGUUUUUAAAAUAAUUGCGCUUGUGUAAUAAAUGUUGAUACAUGUGUCACCCAAGUGACAUUAGCCCUAAUAUUUAAAUAAAAUCAUAUGGCAAAAAUGUUAUUUCACUAAAAGACAACCAAUUUUUUUAAAGUUAACAAAUUUUCACCUAUCUACCUAUUUUAAAAACUUAUAUCACCUUUUUGAUGUUUAUAGAACAUGUAUCACCUAAAUGACAUUAACCUUAAAUGAAAUUAUAGUCUAGAGGGUUAUUGGGUACUAUAAAAAUAUUAAGGAUAAGUGGUAUAUAUUAAUUCCAGUAGGGUAACUAACAAUCUCCCUAUAGAUAUAUAGUAGAGCCUUGAUAAAUUAAUAGCCUUAGGAUAAUUAUCAAUAAUUAUUGAUUUAUGGACGAAUAAAUAAUUUAUUUAUUUAUUAAGAUAAUAUCACGUUCAUAAUAUGAAUUUUUAUAAAGAAUAGAGGUAGUGUAAUUAAAUAAUGUAACAACUUUGUCAAGCUGCAUGGUAUAGUUCUAACUUGAUUUUGAUCAGUUGAUUAAGUGAAUCAAUCACUUGAUAAUCUAACUGGAUCAUGAUUAUAAUAUAACAAGGGGUUCUUAUUUGAAAGAUAUAAAAAAAGCAACAAUAAUCGAUAAAAUAUAUCAGGUAUUAUGGCACUACAAUAAAUAAAAUUAUAAACAUAUCAUAAGUACUUAGUUUCAAGUUAGUUAAUUAUUAGUUUAUGUAUUGAUUGGGUCCGUAGAACCAAAAAAAAAAAGGAUUCCUUAGAAAAUUUAUUAUCUAAUUUAAUUAAUCAAUUUAUUAAUUUACCAUGUUGGCUAUAUUGUUGUUACCAAUUAAAUUAAUAUUUAAUCGAGGUUAUCAAUUUAUCAAAUAUUAAUUUAACAAGAUUCAACUUUAUAUGACUUUAGACUUUAAAGUAACCCUCGACAGUGGGCUAAUGGAAUAAAAGACAAAAUAUAUCGCAUUGAAUUGUGGUUUUUCAUUAAAAUUUUUUCAUAAUUUGAACUUUGAAUAAAUUAAUGGUAGUGUAUGGUUGAAAUAAAACUAUUUUUAUAGUUCUAUUAAUUAACGACCAAUCCUUCUCAAAAAAAAAAAAAAUUAACGAUCAAUCACUUAAUUUUGCUAAGGAGAAGUUCGAUCACGAGAGAAUUUUGAUAUUUUACUUAGAUUAUUUCAUUAAAAGAGAAAACCUAACCUUAAAUAAUAAUUAGGAAAUGUCGAAAGAGCCCCUAAAGUGGGGAGAGAAUUAUUAAUUAGAGAUGGAAUUUGAAAAAUUGGCUCCAAUAUAGGGAGGAGACCGCAGAGUUCCCGUCGGAUAAUAAAAGGAUAGAUUGAUUGACAAGAAACUUGAAGUGCAAAAUUCAAAUAGAACGGUCUUUUCAUAUUCUCCUUCUUCACUUCUCUUACCAAUACCAUCUUCUUCAUUACAUUCUCUUUCUUGCUCUCCAUUUUUAAAGUUCAAACACUCAGCGUCACCUUUUCAAGUCCAAGCCCCCCAUGGCUGUUGCUCCGAGACAACCAAAUAGCUCUUCCCAUUCCCCUCACAAGGUCUCUUUCUUUCUUUCUUUAAUAUUUUCAUGAAGUUAAUAUUUUUACCAUCUGGGUUUUUCCAUUUGUAGUUGAAGGAGAGAAAGCCAUUGGUAAAGAAGGAAAAAAUGUUUCGGAAGAAAACGAGCGCUCAUCAGGGAACUCUAGUGGUUAACUUGUUCUUUUCUUUUUUUCUUUUUUCUUUUUUUCCUUCUACUCUGUUUCGUUAUGAUUAUUGUGAUUAAAUAUUUGUGCUGCUUGUGUUUGAUGAUUUAUAUUGUUCCCAUUUUCUGUUUCGAUUUUCGUUUUUUUUUUUGGGAAAGAAAAGUGAAGGUAAAAUGGAAAAGAUUAUUUCUUUGGGUUCCUAAGAGCUGGUCUAGGACUUUGUCAGGGUGCUUUUAGUCUUUAAUGGAAGUUUAAGGUGUCAUUAUAGAAAUUUUUUAGCAUUGUUUUUAGUUUCAGAAAAUAAGAAAGAGAAAAAGAGAGUACAGGACUAGUGGAAACACCAUUUCUGUUUCUGAAACAGUACAACUAUUUUUGCAAUUUUAAUUCUUGCUCAAAAAUAGAGUUUAUGAAACAGUUUCUCGAUUAAAAUAUUGGAAGAACUCAGAUUAUGAUAUGUUAUGUUUGUCUUUCAGAGGGAUGCUUUCUCUUCUGCAUGAAUAACUUGUAUUGAGAUUAAUGUUGAAGUAACUAUAAUGAGGACAACAAAUUUGUGUUUGAGGUCACUCUUCUCUGCCUUUGCUCAGCUGGACAGCUGCAGUUAUGUGCUUCUUCCUGUAUCUUGCUUCUUUUAGUGUUGGAGAAAUAAAUAAUAAUUAAAGGGAACUUUUGCGAAUCUUUUGGCAGGUAACAUGCAAUGAACCAAGAAAUCCUAAAUGGUUAGUAAAGAAUUUUAAGUGAAUGGAUCUUCAAUAUGUUUUACUGUGUAUUGCGAACUGAAUUAUCUUCUAAUGGUGCUGUCUCUAUUGUUUGCUUUAGUGAGAAACGGAAGAGAUCCACAUAUGAUAACUUGUAUGACAAUGAAGAAGUUAAAAAUGCUGUUAUGGAGCAAGCAAAUGACAUUCAAGCAAAUCUGGACCCUCAAUUCCCUAGCUUUAUUAAAUUCAUGCUCCGUUCGCAUGUUACUGGAGGGUUUUGGCUGGUAAACUGCUUUCUGUCAAUGCUUUCUCAUUUGCAAUGAGAAAUUACUAGCCGGAUUUGCAUCUGAUAACUUCUCUGCUUGCAGGGUCUUUCUAGGAAAUUUUGCAUUGACAAUUUGCCGAAACAGGAUACAAUGAUUGUUUUGGAAGAUGAAAGUGGGAGCGAGUAUGAUACAAAAUAUCUUGUAGAAAAGAUAGGCCUAAGUGCGGGAUGGAGAGGGUUUUCAAUUGCUCACAAAUUGGUGGAGGGUGAUGCGUUAGUUUUUCACUUAGUUACACUAUCCAAAUUUAAGGUAAUAGAAUGAACCUAGUUCAUAUGUUUUUUCACCUUUCAACUUUCAUUUUCUCUCAAAGCAUGAUUCCAGCCACUAUUAUUCUAGGACUGUAAGUCAGAAUAGAGUGAGUAGAAGGUGAAAUUCAGCGCUUUUCGAGGCUAUGAGAUUCCUUGCUAACCAAGUCUUGCAAAAUGCAGCAGCUAAAAUCUUUCCUGAACACAAAAAGGCUAAAGGAGGUAUUGAAAUGAUAGAUUUUAGCAUGUAUGUUAUGAAGUUUUAGAAGAAAGAAAACAAAAGCAUUAGUGACGAUGCCCAUAACUGCUGACACAUGGCUGGGGUUCCAGCCCAACCAUUGCAACUCAUAAAAGGAGAGCCAAAAUGUUUCAAUAACUUAUCCAGUGUGUGUUCGUAGAUAAAGCUUGGUAGAUCUUACUGGUGAAAGGAGGUCUUUUCUUCCCUGCAAGAUUAUCAGGCAUAAUUCCAUGAUAUUUCAAUGCAUGAAGAAUCUUUUCUAUUCAUAAUACAUCUCAAAUGCUUAUUGUUACUGACAUCUCAUAGGUGUACAUUGUAAGAUCAAGAGGUUCAGAUGAAGUGGAUUGUGCACUUGGCCUUCUAAAACUAGAAACUUGCAAUCAACAAGUGGAAUCUGGUAAGUUUAUGGUUCAUUUUGCUGUUUUUUUUCCCUUUGCUAGUAUUUGUAAUUAGACACUAGAAACUUGCUUUCCUCGAUGUUUUUCCUUAGUUUCUUUCAACUAUGAAUAUCAUGCAGAGAAGCAUAUAUGUGAAGAAGAGGAUAAUAAGUGUUGGGAGCCCCUCGCACAGAACAUUCAGAAGGAUAACCAAAUGAUCUCUUGUACUGGUCUUGAGCUUGUAUCAGAGCAGUCUGAAGAUGAGAGCAAAGAUUUUGGCUCUGAAGUCCUCAAUGGACUUAAAAUCUGUGAAUCUGCUGUUGACUUCAAAGAAGUGAAAAGUUUUCAGGAUUUCAGCAUUGUCGUAAAUGACUUAGUCAUCGACUCUGCACUGUCCAAGUACCUUAGGACUAAGUACUAUGAACUUUGUUGUAGUCAGAAUUCAUUCCUUCACAACUCUGUUCUUGAUGGUCUUAACUGUAAGUUGAUUUCUGGAAUGAUUUCUGAGACCAUCAACAUUGCUGAUGCCAUUAGAGCUUCUAAGUUAACCACCCCACAUGAUAAUUUUGAUACCUGGGACAAAACUUUAAAAGCCUUCAAGAUGAUGGGGAUGAAUGUUGGCUUCUUACUAAUCCGGUUGGAUCAACUUAUGAAUCUUGCUUCCACAUCCAAGAGGCUUCAAGAGGCUAGACUUGAACGAGCUAAUGCGGGGGAAGAGAAGAGUGCUCUGGAACUGAAGCUUUCAGAGGUAAGAGAGAGAAUUGAUAGACUUGAUUCCGAGAUUGAGGCAUUGGGGGCGAAUCCUAACAGUCUUGAUGUUAUGUUCCAAGAAAUGGCAAAGGCUCCUUGGUGAUGAUAAAUUAUCAGCACAAAAUUGGCUUUUACAGCUUUUGUCCUGGAAAAUGAGCUAUUUUUGUGGUUACCAAAUGCCAAUUACCAUGCAGCUCAGCUGAAAUUUCGUACAUAGGCUGUGAAGUUCCAUGUUGUAAGUUCUUGAUCUGAUAGUUAUCUGCAGAAGGGAUUACUAACUUAUGACAAAGCUGUAACUGUAAUGGGCUGACAGAUUUUGUGUCAAUCUAGAAGAUUGAUUGACGAAUGUGAUCAAACGAUCAAUUCUCACUCUUUUUUUCAAACAUUUUUUGCUUUUUAGACUUCGUUCACAACUUCACAUACCAAACCAACUAAGCCAUACUGCAAACUUUAAAGGGGCUUUAUUUUUUUUUUGGGUUAAUUACAUUAUCAGGAUUUUGUAGAUCAAUUUAAGACAAAUCAAUUCAUAAUUCAACUAAGUAAUUAUGACUUCCCAAAUAAUUACUACCACAUAGGCAAAUUUGGAUGGUUUCAGCCUUUCAGGAUUGUUUGGAAACAGCACUAUCAUUUAUGUUGGGGUGAAGCAGACAAGCAUGGCAAGAAUUAUAGAUUAUGUAAUAGAAAACAUGCCAUAAAAGAUUGAAAUGUGAAAAACCAGAAAUGCCCUUAAAUUUGAAUUCAAAAUAACAGUUCUUUAGGCUGUCCGUACUUUCAGCUUGGCGCUCAUUUCGGUCACAGUUUCCGAGAAGAGCAUUAGGAAACGCAACGGUCGUGAUUUCGCUUCACUUCUUUCCUUUCUUCUUCUUCUUCAACUUCGGUUCACUUGAAAUCACUACUCCAAAAGACAAAAGAAAAACCCGAAAAAUGGUGGAAUCCAAGCUGACAUACGAAGAAUGCCGCCGCCAAAGAAUGGAAGAGAACAAGAAAAGAAUGGAGGAGCUCAAACUCAACGUGCUCGCUCGGUCUCUUAAAACCCCUGUAUCCAAGCCCUCUCCGGUGACUCUCUCUCUCUCUUUCUCUCCCUAAAAGCACUUCUAAAUGGCUAAAACUGAUUUCGUAGAAGCGCUUUUUUGAUGAGCACUCAAUAAGUACUUUUCUCUAAGAAAGUGCUUUUUGAGGAAGAAAAUUAAUGCCCUUUUAUUUUAUUUUUUUCUGGAAAGCCCUUUACUUUGUGGAUGUUUUUGUGGGUUGCUUUUGAUGGGUAUUUUUGUUGUGUUAUGUAUAGGUUAAGAAGCGGGUUUCUAAGCCGAAGCCAGCGUCGGCUCCGGUGAGAAGGUCCAGCCGUGUUGCAGACAAGCCACCUCCGAAUUACAACGAAGUGAGCAGCUUCCUAUCUAUCUAUUAACUUAUUAACAUUAAUUGUUUCAAAUUGACUUUGGAUUAAUUCUGAUAUGUUAUUUGGGUUUUAUGAAAGUCAUAUUGUCACUGAACUUUACAUCUAUAUCUUUUUUAAAAUAUUCACUCUCCUGAUGAUAGCUGCUCAUUUUAGCUCAAUUUUUACAGGUUAGUUUACCGCUUUGAUAUCAUAUGUUAUGAAUCUCCGGUCAAUCUGUGGAAAUUAGUUGUCAUUUUUUGUAUUAAUUGAGUGUCUAACUUAUGGCUUGCCUUAUUAAAGAUUGUUCUGUGAAAUAUGGAUUGACCCACCGAUUUACUGGUUGCUGGCAGGAUCCAUUUGAACCUUUACUGACAAGAAGAAGGUAAAUAAUUGCCACCAAAAUUUCAUUUUUUCUAAAAUUCUGGGUGAUUGAGACAAUUCAUUUGUUGAUUUUAUAAUGUUUGCUUAUCUUAUUCUAUUUAUGAGGUUAACUUGUAGAAGUUACCAGCGGAGAAAUCUGUUGAAUCGAGUUUAUGCUUCGGAUGAAGAGAGAGCGUCUGCAAUUGAUAGAGCUGAUGAAGUUCAAUCUGGCUUAGAUUCUCAAUAUCCAAGUUUCGUUAAGCCUAUGCUACAGUCACAUGUCACUGGAGGCUUUUGGCUGGUAAUUUAGUAACUAAAAAUCACAGUUUCAUGUAUCAACAUUUAAGGGUAUAAAAUAUUCUCUGGGAAGGGUUUACAUUUUGGUUCUAGAAAAUGAGUCAUUUAAACGAAUUUUUUGUCACUGAUGAUGUUCUUAUAGAACAGCCAGAGUCAAUAACACAAGUUUAGCCAUUUUUUUUCCUCCUACAAUGAUGAAAAAAAUAUUAUUGUAUUGGUCUUUUGCUCUUGAGCAACUGCGAAUUUUUCUUUAUAGGCAUCGGAUUUGGUGAUUUUUGGUUUUAAUUUCUCUUCCAAUGUUUUCAAUAGGGUCUUCCAGUUCAUUUUUGCAAGGAACAUCUUCCCCAUUCUGAUGAAAUUAUAACUCUGGUUGAUGAGGAGGAAAAUGAGUUUCCAACGAAGUAUCUUGCUGAGAAAACUGGUCUAAGCGGUGGGUGGCGAGGAUUUUCAAUUGAUCAUGAACUUGUUGAUGGGGAUUGCCUCGUAUUCCAGCUUAUUAAGCCUGCCACAUUUAAGGUGAGGUUCAUUUCAGUACCCUGGUUAUAACAUAAUGAGGUUCAUUUACACAUUGCUUUAUGAUUGUUAUGUAGACAAGAAUCUCAAACAAUAAUAGGUAUGCUUUGUCAAAGGAAUGGAAGUGUUUGUUAAGUAGGCUUGAAGGUGAAUUUGCUAUCUAUUAGGACUUUUUCUUUGUUGCGUUAAUCUGAACAACAUGCUUUUGUUGUUUGAAGCAGGCUACAGAAAACUUGUGUGCCUAUGAUUGUUUAUCUAGGUCUCUUUUCAUAGUCUAUAUUGAUGUUAAGUUCACAUACCACUUGCUCAUAUUUUAUCAUUCAGCAUUUCCCUCUCUCGCUUCUGCAAAUGCCUGUUUAACUUGUGACAGGAUAUUUAUCAUCUACUUUAGUCACAACUGUUCUCACAUCUUAGCGUCCUUGGAAGGUAACCGAGAGCAGUUGAAAUUCUAGAGUGAAUGCAGAAGAUAACUUGUAACCUUUCAAUAUUUUAAAAUGUGAUAACCACUCCUAUUUCUUUAAACAGCCAUAGCAAUUAGUAAGUUGCUAAUUGCAUUAGCCAUUUUCCGUAGGUGUUCAUUAUCAGGGUAUACGUGUCAGAAUUCAAUGAUGAUAACAACGAUGUAAACAAGAAGAACAAAGAAAAUGAGAACGAAGACAAUAGCAAGGAAAACAAAGAGGAUUCAUCCGCUCGCAACACCAGGAGUGCUAAACGAACCAGAUCAAGUAACCUCUUUAAAUCCUAGACAUUACCUAGGAAACUGGAAGGCAUAUUUUUUUUUUCAUAUUGUAACUGGAUUUGCUUCUGACCGGUUGCUUUCAAAUAUAAUGAUAUAUUUAUUAAUUGUAAAAGUUCUACACAGUUGCCUAGUUGGAUUCACUUUUGAAAUUUCAAAUUGUUGUUCUCUUGAGACUUGCAGAAGCUCAAAAGUCACCCAACUACAGUGGUUAAUUGUAGCUUAUCGGAUUCUUGGGUACACGAAACCAGUGGAGCAUUUUAAGCCUCAAAUCGUAGCAGUGAAAAAGAAAACUGUUUCUCAUAAAUUUUCACAGAUCAGUUUCACCAUAUAUCUUGAGAUCUUUAUUGUGGAUCUUUCAAGCCCCUAAACUUUCAACAAUUAGUAGAACAAAGAAAUUAAAAUGUCAAUAAGAUUAUGCAGAUUACAUAUGCAGUCAUGCAGAUUACAUGUGAAAUCUUUCUUCUGAUCAAUCAAGAUGUUCAGAAAGAUUGGAAAUAUCAAUUUACUUAUUUACGAGUAAAAUGAUACCCAGCUUUGUACGGGAAAUAUGUUCAUCCUAUAAACAGAGUUUAUGUCAAGAUCUUCAAUGCAACUUUGUGAGUUUAACCAUCUCUCACAGAGAGUAUUUACCUUUAUGUACUCUUAUUCUGUCACUUUAUGCUUUCGCGGAGAGGAUCUUCACUUUAUUGUUAUUGCUGGAAAAUUACCCAUUUAAUUCUAUGGAAAUCAUACCCCCAUAAGGUUGUACAGUAAAGCUGUGCUGUAAUUUUAUCUUACUGCCACAUUUGUUUGAUAUUGAGCCAGAAUUGUCUAGAGGGAAGAUUGUAAGGACACGGGAACUGCUCAUAACUUUGCCAUUUGUUGAGUGAAGGUUGGAUCAAUGCAAACAACCACCUGCAGAAUAUCAUCAUAUAUGUAAAACAAUUGGUCUUGCAAGGAAAGAGUCCUGAGCAGGGUUAAGUAAAUCAUAGAUAAGAAUAAGAUGAGCAUGCCAUUACUUGAAAGUGAAUACCUUGCCAACACUUUUACCCGAAUGAAGAUACUCAACAGCAUCUGCAACAGCAUCGAGACCCACAAACCUUCUCGGGUCCAGGGAUACCUGUAAUAAUUGAAUAUGAGCAAGUAAUCAAUAAUAGGAAAAUCCAAGUCAUGUCCAGCAGGGAAACAAUGACUCGUCUCAAUUUGAAGAACAGGAUAUUACUUACACAUGAAAGACAUAUCAUAUUAUUUCUUUUCUUUUCCAUAUUAAACGAGACAAAGUAUAUCAAUAUAUUGUAUAAUUCUGUCUAACAAGUCUAAGCAAAGGCUAUAAUAACAAGUCAACUAGGAAAUAUAACUGUGUAAAUGAAUUUACCUUGAGCUUUCCUGCAGAGAACAGUUGAAAGAGUUUGUUCAGAUGUUGCUGCCACAGGUGACUGUGUUGUACCAAGAAAAAGCCAGCCUGAAAAGUAUCGGCAACUUAAAAACAACCACUCAAAGAAUCCAAUGUUACAUGUCUCCCUAUAAUCUAGAGGAUGCUCCACUAGUUGAUGGGAAAUAGAAGAAAGAAACCAAAAUGGGAAUCCUGUUCUCAACAACUCAAACUUUUAAGACUUGAAAUUUCCUUCUGUUUUGGUAACCAAAUAGAAUAUGACAUGCAAAGAUCUCAAUAUGCUGGAAGCCUAAAAUUUAAAGUAUAGUUAAUUCAAAUGCAAGUAACCCUCUUUGAGAGAUUAUUCACAGAAACCACAUGUACAAUUCGUUAACAAGAAGCGGAUGAUUCCUAGUCAUUAUGGCUCGUAUCUUCGUAUAUCUGCAACAGAAUGUCAAUACUUAUGAUGCUAUGCUUCUAUUGGUAAAUUGAGAUAUUAUCUAAAAGAUAAGAGAGAAAAAAAUAACUGAUGAGCAACAAAAACAAAACAAGACAACCUAAAAAAAUGAAUCCCCCGCCAAAUCCAAGAUGCAAUUACUGACAUAUGGCAACCUCUAGAUUCCCAAGCCAAAUCUUUCUAUUAUUAAGUAUGGCUGGUACCAUUUCCAUGUGUUUCGAUUCUUUCUUUCACUUACUAAAAAAUAACUCAACAAUAGUGAUUAAACUUUGACGUGCCAAAAGUAAUUAACAGACUUGUUAAUAGAUCCAAACCCAGGUCCAACCAAUUUCAUAUUAUUUUUUAAUCAUCAGAUUUUCAGCAGAAGAACUCUUUGUCAACCCAGCUUGAAAUGAUGCUUGAGAAACCAUUGAUCUUAAAUCGUAUGCUCUUAGGGGCCCAAAAGAGAAUUUGAACUCUAAUACAGAUAAUGUUAAUUCAGGACUGGUGUUUUAAACAUGAUGUCAUAACUAUCAGGUACAAACAUCCAAGUCAGAAUGCGAAGAUGCAUCCAAAAGAAAUUAUAUCCUAUGUUAAUGGUGUAAUGGCCGCAAUAACAAAAAUCAUCAUCCAUGGAUACAUACCACAGUUUGGCUUUUUGCUAAAAUCUUUUCACACAAUCCAGGGUAAUUCGAUGGCUGCCAUCCAUGUUCUCCUUGAUACUGAGACAAAACAAAUCAUUUCUUUGGCAAUGAAUCAUAGACACUGGACAGAGCCAAAAAUAGUCAUUCCACAUAAAAGAAAAGAAGAAAAUUGAAAAUGGAUUAAAUAUGUUGCCAGAAGUAGCUCAUACACUCUUGUAUGAUAUCAUUAAUUUUGGUUAAUUCUCCCCCACUUCUAAAACCCCCAUAUCAUGAUGUAUUCAACAAAAAUCCUACACAUCCUCUCUUUUUUUUUUUACCUGCACCAAAAAUUCCUGAGAAAGUAGACUGCUAAUGAAUAGUGUGACUCAUCUGCCAAUAUGAUGAACAAACUUAUAACAUCAAAACUAAAAACUUACAACCUUUAAGUAAAAGGAUUGAUCAAUCAACUUUAAAGUAGCCAUUGGGUAUCAGCUCUUCCAGAUAAAUGGCAUGACAAAAUGAGAAAUAAAAGAAUAUAUGCAAAGAUUCAAAACUGAGAAAUAACAAAAGGAAGCAAGAAAAUAAAAAUCGAUAAGCAAAUUUUAAUUAAAUGCUGUUCUUAUGAGAAGCACUUUAGAGAAACUAACCUGGGAAAUCAUUCCAAUCACGAUAAGCCGUCCAUAAACUGCCAAAGCCUUCAAGCAAAGAUUAAACAUGUCACCACCAACAGAUUCAUAAAUGAUGUCAAAACCUUUGGGAAACUCCUCCUUGAACACCUGGCAGAAGCAAAUCAUGAUCAUUAUCUAUACAAGCACUUAAAUAUUAAGAGAGAGAAGAAAUCACUGCAGAGUUUUAAGUAUCAAAGGAUCCUAGUUCUUGUAGCUAAGUAAGACCAUUUGAUGGGACAACGAAUUUGGAAAGUGAACAAGCAAUCCUGAAAUAAAAGCACUUAAGUUUACAUGACGUAAUUUCAAAGAGGCUUGGUCAAGAAGGAAAAAUUGUGUAGCUGAACUUUUGAACUCAGAAAUAAAAUGAAACCUUAGCAAAAGCUUAAAUUUGUAAUCAUUGAAGGACAUGUACAUCUACAUCUGCAGACAUGCACAUUAAAUACAAACAAUUACUCUUAGAAGCCUACAAAAAGAUCCAUCACUAAUACAAGCAGACCCUAUCAAUGUCAUUGCCUAAAUCAAUUAACUCUCUGAACAACAAAUGAAAUCAUUGGUGAUCCCAGCAUCCAAAUCCUCUCAUGUAUGCAACAAAGAGAAGAAAUGAAAACCAAAACAAAUAUUACACACAUACAGUUUUAAUGUCUUCAGCUUUGUAGUUUAUGACUCGAUCAACUCCCAGUUCUUUCAAAAGCUGGGCCUUAUGCUCACCUCCACAAGUAGCAACCACAGUAUUUCCUGCUAAUUUUGCGAGCUGCGGAUGUUUUCACCAACCAUGGAGAUAGAUGUUAAAAUAUUGAUUUCCACAAACAAUAAUGAAUUUUCACAUUAACGACAUGAGAUGACAAUUCAAAAGGCAAACCGUGAAAAAGAAGGGAUAAUAAAUCUCAUCUACAAAGAGAAGUUAUGUCAUACAAACUGCAACAGCAGCACAACAAAUAUUGUCCACUCUCAAUUUCCACAAAUAGAUGUAACCAUAUAAAAGUUAUCAUAAUAAUAUUUUCUCAGAUAUCAGACCGAGUGUGCAUUUCCUGGAUAAAAAGGUGCUGUCUAAUUUUGAAAAUAAAAGUUUAAAUCAAAAGCGACACCUUAAAAUUAAAAUUCAACUUUUUUAAUUCACACUCAAAGUAGCCCAUAUCCAGUAAGGUGUUAAUCAAAUAUCCAGUAAUUCCCUUAGUUACAGUUCCGACUUCCGACGUCCAAUCAAAAAAGUUAUAGUUCAAUCUUUUUAUUUGACUGGGAAUCCUUUGCUCAGAAGCCUGCUGAUAGAUGCCAUGCCUACUGAGACAAUAACAUUAUGUAUCUAACACAAUAAGAUAAUUACACUGAAGAACAACUAAAAUAUUUCACCAGUGAGGCAGUCAUUUAUAUAGCAGAGAGCUUUAUGAAAAUAACUGAAAAUUCAUCAAAACUAUAUAAAAUACAUAGGGAGAGGGUUAUCCUUGUAUUUGAAAAUAAACCUGGACUGCAAAUUGCCCAGUCCCCCCAGCAGCAGCUGUAACAAGCACCUUUUUUCCAGAUGCCGGUCCUGCCUGAAAAGACCAGAAUAAAGAAUUAUUGUUGGAAGAAGUAAAAUAUAAUUCUGAGUGAAGGAUUUAAGAGAUGCUAAGUGAUACACAAAACGUAAGGAUAUAGUGAAUAAAGUUUAAAACAUAUAAUUAAAAAAAUAUAGGUUUGUGAAAUAUAAUCUCAAAUGAAAAAAUCAGCUUAAAAUGUAUUUCUGCCUGUGAAUGAAAAGUGUGGAUGCUUGGAUAAUUCAUCACUUAUAUUUGACAAGUAUCAGGCAUUACCUGUUCCAGAGCAAUUGAAGCUGUAAGCCCUGAAGUAAGCAUGGCAACAACUUCUGGAUCUGGUCUUGCCACAGGAAGAAUGUGUUUAGAAGGUACCUAUUCAUAGUAUUUAUCCAUCAUUGACAAAUAAAAUAUAGCAAUUCUAGGAUUAAUUAAUAUGGAAUCUUAAAAGAAAUUUAUGAAAUUGAUUAAGAAAGCUACUUCCGCAGGAUACCAGAAACAAUGCUUUCAAGGAGAGUGUACCAUUGUAAAUUCAGCAUAACUCCCAAAAGUCAUGAUGGCAGCAGGAGUGCCAACUUUCACGUUAUUGACAGAGUCACCAACUGCUGCAAUUAGUCCUACUGCCUGCAAAGUAAAUCAUAAGCAGCAUAACAUGAUUGGUCGAGCAAAUCGGCAUAUCUGAAUUAAACAAUUACACCAUAAGUUUAUAAUAUUAUUGUCAUGCACCUCAAAGCCAGCGUCAAAUGGAAGACGAGAGCCAAUGUCAUUACCGUCAGAGAAAUAACGACCUGAGCUGAAAUUAACCUGUCCAUAAAUCCACAACCUAUCAUUGUUAAGCAGGCAGACAUACACAUGUAUAAAUGCAUUUAAAACGAGUGAGAGAGAGGGGGAGAGAGAGAGAGAGAGAGCUAUUUAUAUAAAAAAUGAUUUUCCCAAAAGGAGGCAAAAACGGCAAGUAAUAUUCUCCAACAUUUUGACGUUUGGUAAGAUAUAGUGAACAUAAAGACAAAAGAUCAGACCCAUAAGACGCCUUUUCUUUCCUAGUUUCCCAACCCCUAGCCAAUUUUGUAAACCAACAGACGUCCUCUGACUUGUAAUUAACAUUUUUCAAAACAUUUACCAUCUCCAGGUCACACACACACACACACACACACACACACACACACACACACACACACACACACACACACACACACACACACACACACACACACACACACACACACACACACACACACACACACACACACACACACACACACACACACACACACACACACACACACACACACACACACACACACACACACACACACACACACACACACACACACACACACACACACACACACACACACACACACACACACACACACACACACACACACACACACACACACACACACACACACACACACACACACACACACACACACACACACACACACACACACACACACACACACACACACACACACACACACACACACACACACACACACACACACACACACACACACACACACACACACACACACACACACACACACACACACACACACACACACACACACACACACACACACACACACACACACACACACACACACACACACACACACACACACACACACACACACACACACACACACACACACACACACACACACACACACACACACACACACACACACACACACACACACACACACACACACACACACACACACACACACACACACACACACACACACACACACGUGUGAGAGAGUCCUCAUCUACUGAGGGAGCGCUUGUUUCAAUAAAGUGAGGACCACUUUAAAAGACCAAAAAGAACAAACUCCAAUGCACUAAAAGACAAAAACCAUUGCAUUGAAGUUCAUGUUUUUCUUGUCUUUUAGCUUAAGGAAAACGUAGAUGGACAUUUAUUAUUUUCUAGUGUCAUAGACUUACGUCACUAGCAUUUACACCAGCAAAAAUUAUUUUCACAAGAACAUGAUUUGGUUUGAUCGGCAAUCUCAACGGAGCACGAACUUUGAUAGUUGCAUCGCGAAAAUUAUGAUUCAAGGUAUGAACAACUCUGAAGAACAAAAUAAAAUUAACUUGUCAGCUACUAUCAAGUACUAAUAAUCAAAUCAAAGAACCAAGAGUAUGAGUACUGCACAUGCAGUAAUGAAGCACACUGCUUUCAUAUUGUUUCAGCCAUUCAUAUACUAUUUCACACACCUUAACUCUAUUUUAUUAAAAUAUAUAGAAUUUUGGAAUCGGUAACCUUUAACAUUCACUUAUGUCUCAACUGAUAAAUCCUCCUGAUUCAACUUAACAAAAAUUCGUUCAUCAAAGAUGUAGUAAGUCAUUCAGAAUGGGAGGAUCCAAGCCAUGCAAAGAAUUUCUGAGUUUACUGGAAGAGAAAACCAUUGACAUUAAGAUCUCUGGCCUAUCACAUAAGCAGAAACCUGGCAAUCUUUAAUUAUAAAGAGAGACCUGAAACUAAGCCACUCAUAUACAGGAGACCAGUCAGCCAUCUUGAUGAAGUACAAGCUCCACCACAUUCAAAUCAUGUCUCAAUAAGUUUAAAAAAAAAAUCAAAGCAAAUGAUACUCCAAUUUAAAAAAAAUAAAUAAAUAAAUAAAAACUCAUCACACGUUGAAUUGAGAUCUUAGGUUAUUGGUAUGCCAACUUCAGAUCACCCUACACUUUCACAUUGCCAGACCAAAUGAAAAACUAAAUAUUGCCAGAAAUUAUAGUUAAAUUUCCAUCACCAGCCACCGAAAGAGUACAGAAGUUUGACAUAACUCACAAUUUCUCAAAACUUUCAGGAAGUUGGACAUUCAGAUUCAAAGGAACCUGCGAUGAGGAUCUUUUCAUGGAACCUGAAGAGCGCACCAAGUAUUUUGCUUUUUCUUCAGAGGUGGGCCAAUACUCCAUGCCUCUGCGAUUUGUAAUCCAUAGGCAUGAUCCAGCUUUACUCUCGUCAGUAAUAAGCUCAAAAGCACCUAAAAGAAAAGAUAUUUGGAAUAUCAGAUAAUAGUUUCAAAACAAAGGGGCAGGGGAGGCUCAAAGGUUAAAUGAGCAUUGAUCUCAUGUGUUCAUUUUUUUUCCUUUUUUCCCUCAAAAUGUAUUUUAGUGAAAUUUCAUUGGCAUCAAUUGUUUUCUUAUUGUUAACAAAUAAUGUAUCUGGCAUUCCAGUACACAUCCAAACAAGGAUAAAGUGCAUAAAGUUGACAACCUGCAGGGGUCUAAUGAAAUUGCAAGCCAGAUUUAUUCAUCCUUCUUCUCAAGAAAAAGGAAUAAAAGAGAAAGAAAAAGGUAUAUUCACUCUGCACCUGAAGCUGAUAUUUUUUGUACCCAGCAAGAGUAAUUUAAGUUCAUUUUAAUGAGUCUUUGUUGUUCAGAUUUCAGACAAUUCAAGCCUUACAAUUUUCCACUGCAUAAGGAUGUUGUACUAGAGACUUCUCAUAAAUUUUGGAACAGCAAAGUAACUCGAACUAUUAGUGCCACAUCAGAUUUAAACAUUUGAAGAGUAAUACCUUUCACUACCAUUUCCAUAGGUACAAAGCCCCCCAUCAGAUCAAUAAAUUUGGAGCCCACCUUUAAUCCCAUCUCAGUUUGAACAAACUGCAAACAAGAAUUCACAGUGAAACUAGUUCAGACUGGCCCAUUUUCAAAAUGUUGGCUAAAUAUCACACUAGAGGACAUCCGGAAUGCUUCAAAUGGAAUGAUACCUCAGGGCAAAGCACAUUGAUGCGAAUUCCCUUGCGUUUGUAGGGAGUAAGUGAUCUAGUAAAUAAAACAACACCACCUAUGGGGAAAAAAAAAUUGUUACAAGAAUCAAAUUCUACAUUACAAAAAGAUACUUGUGCAUGUGUAGGUAUCUUUCCUUUUCUAACUGACAUCAAAUGAACAUAAGGUAAUCUAAAUGAGUGCCCGAAAUAAAAUCAGUGACACAAUGUAGUACAACCAUCAAACCUUUGGAAGCAGAGUAGAUAGGAUCAUUGUACAUUGGAUAAAGACCUGCAGAAGAUCCCAUAUUUAUAAUCACUCCAGGCUUUUUUGCAGCUUGCAUAAUUCCAAUCUGUUAUGAUAAAAUGUACUCAUAAUCACCACUCACUCUCUUCCAAAUAGCAAAUUAAAAUAGCAAAUUAAAAGGACAAACAUAAAUCCAUCUCUUGAAACUUUUAACAUCUUGAAGUUGUGAAGUACAUUCUUUUGUUCCGCAACGAGGAGAGUGCAACUUAUCAAACAUACGUUGUGCAGUUAGCUUAUAGACAAUCAUGCACACCCAAAAAUGGGGAAAAAAAAUCCUCUAAAAUUUGCUAAUGGCAGCAGGCAAAGCAUUACCAGAAAAAGAAUCCACUUUGUAUAUCAAAAAAAUUCACACAAUAAUUACUUACUUUGUGAAUAGACUAUAGUUAGAAGUUUUUUGAAUCACAUGGAUAAUUUAUGUGGCCUGGGGACAUCUUAAGGCUGUACUAAACUCUGACAUUAACAGCUUAUCAAGAAGUGUUCAACAGAUAUUAACCUCAUCAACAAUGUCAAACAAACCAUGGCAAUAAGUUGAGUAAGAGCAACCAAUAAGUUAAGUAAACCAUGAAGGCAAGUCAAAUUUUAAGCAUACAGCUUUCUGAGUGCAAUCAAUAACUGCAAUCAAGUUCACAUCAAGAGUGAAUCUCCAUGAACGUGUGCCAUCAGUUUGAUCCUUUGGGAAUGGAAUAGGAUUACUUAUCCCAGCACCGUUGAUACAUAUAUCCAAUCCUCCAUAUGUAGCUACGUGCUUCUCAAAAGCAGCAGCUGUAUCUCCUGUUCAUUGAAUAUGAUGAAUACACAUAACUAUCUGAAAACAUAAGUUGCACGUUGAGGAGAACAAGAAGAAAACAUGUCCAGAAAUUGAUGCUCUUUACUAUCAAUAAGUGAGAUGCAAAUCUGUUUGAUGGAUUACUUGUAAACUUAUCUAGUAACAAUACAAGAAAUGAUUGGAUAUGCAAAUUCUUGCAAAGCAACGCCAUAUUAAGUUAAAAAAAAUGUUCUGUUUCCCAUUAAAACCACAACAUAAUACAACAGAUAAGUAAAUAACUAAAAUAUGUAAUAUAAAAAUCGUUAAAAUUCAUUUUUUGAAAUCCCCUCUUUCACAGCCUCAGAAAAGCCAAUGCAAACUAUGAACUAGGAAAAGUGAAAAAGUACAAAACGAGAACAGUCCGGUGUCGACAAAUAAGUAAAUAUAAGCAAACUUACUUGUGUUAGCCACAUCACAUCUUAUAAACGUAGCAGAUGGAAAUCCUAAGUUUGAAUAAAACUUAGCAUUCUCUUUUUCAACAAGCGCUGCAACUUCCUUUCCCUUUUCUUCAGAGAAAUCAACAACUGUCACAAAGACUCCCUUCCCUGCAAGAGCUAAACUCAAAGCUCUACCUGCAAAAUAUACACCAGCAUUGACAAAAUCCGCAAAUUAUAUACUAUCCGUCACAACAAUUCAAAUUUCAAUAACUUCCCUUACAUAUGAAUAAAAUCAUUUUAGGCUAUCUUCAGAAGCCUCCGAUUGAUGAGAGUAACUACUAACUACUCAUAGGACAUAUCGUAUACAAGAAAAAUAAGCAUAUAGUGGAUUAUUAAUGAUUAGAAAAUCCCAAAAACGCAAACCCAGAUUCUAGAAUAUCCAAAGGAUCUAAAUUUCAAUAAGAAACAACCAAAGACACAACACCACCUAUCAAGUGCUAAACAAAACACAAUCAAUACACAAACACGAACCCAGUAUAGGAAUCAGAAUUGGGUACUUAAAUGCAAGAAAAAGAAAAUCAAAAGUCUCGAAGUUUUUACCAAUCCCAGAUGCACCGCCGGUGACCAAAGCUGAUAAGCCCGGCUUGAGCUCCAUUUUAUGAACAGGCAGAGAGUCAAAGGGAAGCGAUUAAACUACUCGGUUAAGAGUUUUCUUAUGUGAGCGGGCUUUUACUGUCCCUUUUUCCGGGUAUUUAUUUGUAACAUACUGAAAUUUGUUGUUACUCUAAAUUGCCAAAUGAAGGGGUGAUGUUAUCAAGACGGCUUCCCAUAUCUCUCGCCGGACCACAAUUUGCGCGGCACUGGGGUCACCUCAUUUUCCGUAUUUGUUUGUUUACACGUGCAAAUAAGAGUGAAUUGCAUGGGAUAUACCAUGUUUCCCUCAUAAUACCUAAAAUAUACCUCAAUCCAUUAAAAUCUAUAACUUUAUACAUACAUACUUAAAAAAAUUAAGAAAAAAAUAAAAAUAACCUUAAUAAAAUACUAAUAAAAAAUUAAUACUCGACUCAUUCAAUCUACGUACUCGACUAGAUACUCGAUUUAUUCAAUUACCUUUACUUCUUACUCGAUUGAACGCUCAACUUACCAGACUUCAUACUUGACUUCGUACUCGACUAGAUACUCGACUUAUUCAAUUACUUUUACUUCUUACUCAACUGAAUACGUAAUUUACCAGACUUCAUACCCAACUUCAUAAAAUGCUCAACUUACCAAACUUCAUACCCGACUUCGUACUCGACUUAUUCAAUUGCAUUUACAUCUUACUCGACUGAAUACUCAACUUACCAUAUUUCAUACCCAACUUCGUACUCGACUAGAUACUAGACUUAUUCAAUUGCAUUUAUUUUUUACUCGACUGAAUCGUACUCGACUAAAUACUCGACUUAUUCAAUUUCCUUCACUUCUUACUCAAUUAAAUGCUCAACUUACCAGACUCCAUACUCAACUUCGUACUCGACUAGAUACUCGACUUAUUCAAUUGCAUUCACUUUUUACUCGACUGAAUGCUCAACUUACCAAACUUCAUACCCGACUUCGUACUCGACUUAUUCAAUUGCAUUUACAUCUUACUCGACUGAAUACUCAACUUACCACAUUUCAUACCCAACUUCAUACUCGACUAAAUACUCGACUUAUUCAAUUGCAUUCAUUUUUUACUCGACUGAAUGCUCAACUUACCAAACUUCAUACCCGACUUCGUACUCGACUUAUUCAAUUGCCUUCAUUUCUUACUCGACUGAAUACUCAACUUACCACAUUUCAUACCCAACUUCAUACUCGACUAAAUACUCGACUUAUUCAAUUGCAUUCAUUUUUUACUCGACUGAAUGCUCAACUUACCAAAUUUCAUACCCGACUUCGUACUCGACUUAUUCAAUUGCCUUCACUUCUUACUCGACUGAAUACUCAACUUACCAUAUUUCAUACCCAACUUCGUACUCGACUAGAUACUCAACUUACCAUACUUCAUACCCGACUUCGUAUUUGACUAGAUACUCGACUUAUUCAAUUGCAUUCACUUUUUACUCGACUGAAUGCUCAACUUACCAAACUUUAUACAAAAAGAAUAUUUUGAAUUAUCGAAUCAAAGUAACUGCUGUACGGCCAAGGCGGAUGUACGGUACAGCAGCUUACUCGACUGAAUGCUCAACUUACCAUACUUCAUACCCGACUUCGUACUCGACUAAAUACUCGACUUAUUCAAUUUCCUUCACUUCUUACUCAAUUAAAUGCUCAACUUACCAGACUCCAUACUCAACUUCGUACUCGACUAGAUACUCGACUUAUUCAAUUGCAUUCACUUCUUACUCGACUGAAUGCUCAACUUACCAGACUUCACUUUUUUAAAAAUAUUAAUACUCGACUCAAUAUACUUACCCGACUUAAUGCUCGACCUCUUUAAAAAUUACAUUUUACUUGACUUGUUCAAAAAUUUACUUGACUUUUACUUAAUACUCGACCACUUAAUACUCGACUCAUUUAAUAUGCUUACUGGACUUCUUAUUAGACCAUAUACUCAACUUACUUAUCUCCAAUUCUUACUCGACUAAAUUCUCGACUUACCCAACUUCGUACUCGACUUCUUCCUGCAAUGAGAGGAAGAAAUGUGUGGAUUCUUUAUUUUUUUAAGGUUAUUUUUUACUUUUUCUAUCUUCGUGAGGUAUAUGUAUGUAAUAGGAUAUACAUUUAGUAUUUAAAGGUAAAUUAGGGAUAUUUAAAUAAAAAAACCUUGCAAAUAAUUUGAUGAUUCUUUCCUUUAAUGGCAGAGCCAGGCAGUGUCACAGUGACAAGUACGUUUCGUCAUCUAGCCUCUAACCAUUAACCAACAUCCGCUAAACAAAUACCAGUAGAUUACACAAGAAGAAUCCUCAUUUUCCCUAAUUGUUUGUUUAUACUUGUAAAUAAUUUGAUGAUUGUUUCCUUGAACGUCAGAGCCAGACAGUGAUUCCAAAAAUAAUAUCAGCACUCUGCUAAGUUACAUAAUCUCUAAUUUACAGACCUAGCUUUAAUACCAAAUGCAUGCGCUCCCUCAUUCUUGCGGGACACGUGUAAUCAUCCCAUUUGAUGUGUAAGUAACAUAAUCUGUAACAUAUCAAGAUCCCAGGCCCAGCUAUAUAAUUAUUUGGAUUGGAACGCCACCUUAUAGUUGUACUGAUUUGAUCUUGUUGGAGUUGUCAGUAUUUUUGUCUAGACAUGUUUUGGACUUUUCUUUAUCUCAUUUGGCCAUAUCUGUGUAACGUGAUUUGAAAUAGGUUUUGGUAUUGUUGAUUUUAGUAGCGUAGGGUAAUCUUAAUUAAAAUAAGUAUCUCUAAAGGAAUAUUUAAUUGGUUGGUCUCUUGCCAUUGACUUCAGAAGUUAAUCAAGGGUGCGUUUUGGCAGCUGGAAUUACACUGAAUUUGCAUUGGAUUAACUUAUUAUUCUUGUACUAAUCUAUAUUUACCAUUUGGCUACAAUUUUUUAUUGCAUUGAAAGGUGUACAAAAUUAACCCAUGAGCGGUAGAGUUUAGGGUGUAUUGCAUUAAAAUAUUAUUCAUAUUUUAAAUGUAUUUAUUUAACUUUUAUUUUUAUUUAUUAAAUGUUAAAUUAUGGUUAGAUUUAAAUAAAAAAAAUUAAUUUAAGCAAUAAUAUAAUAAAUUAAUAAACCUAAACAUUCAAUAACUAAAUGAUAAUGCAUUAUUUUACUUUCAUUACAUAAAAUCAUUUUAAUUAUUUUACAUUAAAUAUGUAAAAAGUAUUUUAAUUUUAUUUAAUCAUUUAUUAUUUAUUAAAAUGCUAAAUUGAAAAAAAAAUUAAACAAUUAUAUUUGACAUUAAUAAAUAAAAAUAAAUUUAUAUUUUGAUAUUAUGUUGUUUUAUAAUAGUUUUUAACUUAUAUUAUACCCGUACAGCAGAAUUUAAUAUUUAGUUUAAAAAAUUAUUAAUAAAAUCCUAAAAUAUUAAUAAAUUUAAAUAAUAUUAAUUUAAUUUUAAGAUUAAUAUAGAAUAGUAUUAAUUUAUAUAAGACAGUCAAUACCAUACUAAACAUUAUAUUAAAAAUAAUUAUAUAUGAUACACAACAUAGUGCAAUGCAAAUAAUAUAAUGUAAUAUAAUAUAAUGUGUCAAACGUUCUCCAAAUGAAUACACUUAAACUGAAGUACGGAUGGAUUAAGUCAUUGAGGUUAUGCAAGUUGAAAGAAAUAAGAACCCAAAUAAACUUUAAUUUAUGCGGAUUGAUUCAAAUUUUCAUGUAAUUAAAUAUUCCAUUGGAAUUGGAUUAGGGAUAUUAUUUUACUACCUAAUAUAUUUUGAGGGAUAUUAUUUUACUACCUAAUAUAUUUUGACAUAUCAUUUCACCAUUAAAAUUUUUUGACAAUUACUUUUUCUUAUUUAAUGUUUUAGUUUUUAUUAUUUUACUACCAAACCAUUAAAAUUAAUAAAGUUCUUAACGUGAAAUAUAAUAAAAGUUUAUUUUACCCCCAAAUUGAGUAAAUAUAAUUUAACGCAAAUUAAAAAAAAUAAAAAAUUAAUUAUAUACAAAAAUAAUAUUUUCACCAAUUGAUUAUUUAAUAUAUAUAAAAUAACUAAUUGAUAAAAUUAUAAAUAUCAUACCAUAUGAAAUUCCUAAAACAUUGUAUAUAUUGAAAUUCUUAAAAUACUCACGUGAAACUAAUAAAUUAUUAAUAGAGUUCACAGUUUAGUGAUAAAAUAAUAAAAAUCAAAAUAUUAGAUGAAAAAAGUAAUUGUCAAAAAUUUUUAUUGGUAAAAUAAUGUGUUAAAAAAAUAUUAAACAAUAGAAAGAUAAUAUCCCGUUAGAAUAUUUAGGUUAUAACUUUCUCAAUACAAAACUCAAGCCCACAGCCCACAGCCCACAGCCAAUGGCUACGGACGUUGCUUUAAGUUCUUUUAUUCGAAGGAUUGGUAAACCACGUACCGCUAUCAUUAUAAUAAUUGGAACAAGCGAGAUUGGGUGUAAUUUUCAUUUGUUUUCGUCCUUAUCAUGACAUAGCAUCAUCUAUUCAUUUUACGUGUUAGCUUAUUACUCUUGUUUGUUUUAAGUUAAAUAAAAUAUUAAUCCCUUUUUUUGACAUUUGAGGCGAGUUAUAUAAAUAACAAUCCGUUCUUGACAUUUGAAGCAUACUUGUACCAAGAGCAAAGCUUAAACAUUUCAAUUUUUGGCUUUUUUAUUUUGUUUUUUAUUUGUUAAGUUUUAUAAUCUCAAAAUCAAGUUUAUGUUUGGCAUGCAGUAUUGCAUAAUAUUAAUUUGUGGGCUCACAUUAAUUGAAAUAAUUCCGUAUUUGGCAAUUAAAAUGGAUUGCAUUGAUCAGCAUUAACAUUAACAAACUAGAGCCCUUAAUGUAAAGAGAGAAAUCAAACUAAGCCACUCAUAUCGAGGAGACCAGUCAGCCAUCUUGAUGAAGAACAAGCUCCAUAUUCAAAUCAUGUCUCGAUAAGGUAACAAGACAAAAACUCGCAUGAUACUUGCAUAAAUUAAAAAAAAAAAAAACACACUCUUCGCAUAUUAAAUUGAGAUCUUAGGUUAUUGGUAUGCCAGCUUCAGCUCCGCUUUCACAUUGCCAGACCAAAUGAAAAACUAAAUAUUGCCUGAAAUUAUAGUCACCGAAAGAGUACAGAAGUUUUGACGUAGUUCACAGUUUCUCAAAACUUUCAGGAACUCGGACACUCAGAUUCGAAGGAACCUGAGAUGAGAAUCUUUUCAUGGAACCUGAAGAGCUCACCGAGUAUUUUGCUUCUUCUUCAGAGGUGGGCCAAUACUCCAUGCCUCUCCGAUUUGUAAUCCAUAAGCAUGAUCCAGCUUUACUCUCGUCAGUAAUAAGCUCAAAAGCACCUAAAAGAAAACAUGUUUGGAAUAUGAGAUAAGAGUUUCAAAACAAAGGGGACAAACCUGGAGGGUUCUAAUGAAAUUGCAAGCCAGAUUUAUUCGUCCUUCUCAAGAAAAAGUAAUAAAAAGAGAAAGAAAGAGGUAUAUUCACUGUGCACCUGAAGCUGAUAUUUUUUAUACCCAGAAAGAGUAAUUUAAGUUCAUUUUUAAGGAGUCUUUCUUGUUCAGAUUUCAGACAAUUCAAGCCUUACGAUUUUCCACUGCAUAAGGAUGUUGUACUAGACACUUCUCAUAAAUUUGAAGAGUAAUACCUUUCACUACCGUAUCCAUAGGUACAAAGCCCCCCAUCAGAUCAAUUAAUUGGGAGCCCGCCUUUAAGGCCAACUCAGUUUCAACAAACUGCAAACAAGAAUUCACAGUGAAACUAGUUGAGACUGACCCGUUUUCAAAAUGCUGGCUAAAUAUCACACUAGAUGACAUCCGGAAUGCUUCAAAUGGAGCAAUACCUCAGGGCAAAGCACGUUGAUGCGAAUUCCCUUGCUUUUGUAGGGAGUAAGUGAUCUAGUAAAUAAAACAACACCACCUAUGGAAAAAAAAAAAAAAAAAAUUGUUAUGAGAAUCAAAUUCUACAUUAUUUCUUUCCUUUUAUAGCUGACAUCAAAUGAACAUAAGGUAAUCUAAAUGAGUGCCCGAAAUAAAAUCGGUGACACAAUGUGGUACAAACAUCAAACCUUUGGAAGCAGAGUAGAUUGGAUCUGUGUAAAAUGGAUAAAGUCCUGCAGAAGAUCCCAUAUUUAUAAUCACUCCAGGCUUUUUUGCAGCUUGCAUAAUUCCAAUCUGUUAUCAUAAAAUGUACUCAUAAUCACCACUCAUUCUCUUCCAAUUAGCAAAUUAAAAGUAUAAGCAUAAAUCCAUCUCUUGGAACUUUCAACAUCUUGGAGUUGUGAAGUACAUUCUUUUGUUCCGCAAACGUAUGAGGAGAGUGCAAGUUAUCAAACAUACGUCAUGCAGUUAGCUUCUACACAAUCAUGCACACCCAUAAAUGGGGAAAAAAAUCCUCUAAAAUUUGCUAAAUGGCAGCAGGCAGAGGAUUACCGGAAAAAGAAUCCACUUUUUACAUAAAAAAAUUUCACCCAAUAAUCACUUACCUUGUGAAUGGGCUAUAGUUAGAAGUUUUUUGAAUCGCAUGGAUAAUUUAUGUGGCCUUGGGACAUCUUAAGGCUGUACUAGACUCUGACAUUAACAGCUUAACAUCAAGAAGUAUUCAACAGAUAUCAACCUCAUCAACAAUGCCAAACAAACCAUGGCAAUAAGUCGAGCAAGAGCAACCAAGUAUGAGAGUAAACCAUGAAGGCAAGUCAAAUUUAAAGCAUACCGCUUUCUGAGUGCAAUCAAUAACUGCAACCAAGUUCACAUCAAGAGUGAAUCUCCAUGAACGUGUGCCAUCAGUUUGAUCCUCGUGGAAUGGAAUGGGAUUACUUAUGCCAGCACUGUUGAUACAUAUAUCCAAUCCUCCAUAUGUAGCUACGUGCUUCUCAAAAGCAGCAGCUGUAUCCCCUGGUCAUCGAAUAUGAUGAAUGCACAUAACUCUCUUAAAACAUAAGUUGCACAUUGAGGAGAACAAGAAGAAAACAUGCCCAGAAAUUGAUGCUCUUUACUGUCAAGAAGUGAGACGCAAUUCUGUUUGAUGGAUUACUUGUAAAAUCAUCAAGUAACAAUCCAAGAAAUGAUUGGAUAUGCAAAUUCAUGCUGAGAAGUCAAAAUACAUAAAAACCAAUCGUCUACAAAGCAACGUCAUACAAAGUUAAAAAAAAAAAAUAUUCUGUUUCCCAUUAGAACCUCAACAUAAUACAACGGAUAAGUAAAUAACUAAAAAGUGUAAUAUAAAAAUCGUCAAAAUUCAGUUUUUGAAAUCCUCUCUUUCACAGCCUCAGAAAAGCCAAUGCAAACUCUGAACCAGGAAAAGUGAAAAGCGACAAAAUGAGAACAGUCCGGUUAUGACACGUAAGUAAAUAUAGGCAAACUUACUUGUGUUGGUCACAUCACAUCUUAUAAACAUAGCAGAUGGAAAUCCUAAGUUUGAAUGAAACUUGGCAUUCUCUUUUUCAACAAGCGCUGCAACUUCCUUUCCCUUUUCUUCAGAGAGAUCAACAACUGUCACAAAGACUCCCUUCCCUGCAAGAGCUAGGCUCAAAGCUCUACCUGCAAAAUAUACACCAGCAUUGGCAACAUCCGGAAAUUAUAUACCACAACAAUUCAAAUUUCAGUAACUUCCCUUGAAUAUGAAUAAAAUCAUUUUAGCCUAUCUUCGGAAGCCUCCGAUUGAUGAGAGUAACUACUAACUACUUAUAGGAUAUAUCGUAUACAAGAAAAAUAAGCAUAUACUGGAUUAGUAAUGAUUAGAAGGUCCCAAAAACACAAAGAAUCUAAAUUUCAAUAAGAAACAACCAAAGACACAACACAACCUAUCAAGUGCCAAACAAAACACAAUCAAUACACAAACACGAACCCAGUAAAGGAAUCAAAAUAGGGUACUUAAACGCAAGAAAAAGAAAAUUAAAAGCCUUCAAUUUUUUACCAAUCCCAGAUGCACCGCCGGUGACAAAAGCUGAUAAGCCCGGUUUGAGCUCCAUUUUAUGAACAAACAGAGAGGCAAAGGGAAGCGAUUAAACUACUCGGUUAAGAGUUUUCUUAUGUGAUCGGGCUUUAACUGCCCCUUUUCCCGGGUAUUUAUUUGAACGUACUGAAAUUUGUUGUUGCUCUGAAUUGCCAAAUGAAGGGUCGAUGUUAUAUAGACGGCUUCCUAUAGGUCUCUCCAGCCCACAAUUUGCGGCGCACUGGGGUCUCCUCAUUUUCCGUAAUUGUUUGUUUAGACGUGCAAAUAAUUUGAUGAUUCUUUCCUUGAACGUCAGAGCCAGACAGGGACAAAUACGUUUCAUCAUCUAACCUCUAACCAUUAACCAAUAUCUGCUAAACAAAUACCAGUAGAUUACGCAAGAAAUAUUAUUAACACGAGAACAAUAAGAAGAUAUUAGAUUACGUACUAAACAAUCAGCUUUAGGAAAGUAUUGAUAAUAUACAUGCACUCAAUACAAUUAUUAGACGUAAAAAUGCCACGUGCCGCCCGGUUAAUAAUUCGAUUUUUCUAAAUUUUAUUGGGAUAAAUAUCUCUCCUGCAUUCAUGGUAAUAGAUUUGGAUCAUGAUUCUCUCUUAAUCUGAUCUCCUCCUGAACAAACAUAUAUGGUGAUUGGUUGUUAAUAAAAUAAAAAAAUAAAAAAGUUAAAUCUUAUCCAUAUACUAUCACUUAAAAACACAUGACACAAAAUCUUAAAAAACUCAUGAGAGCUCAGAUAAGGAGAGGAUCUUUUUCUAAUAAAUUUUCGAACCCACCCUCGAUAGAUCAUCGCUUGGCUGAAAUAUGUACUACUCAUAGUACAUUUCAAAUUAUAUGUACUUGUAGAUGGUAACAAUUUCAAAAAAUAAUAUCAGCAAUGUAAUUAUUUGUAACGUGACCUUAGUAGUACUUAUUUGACCUUAUUGGAGUUAUCAGUAUUUUUGGCUAGACAUGUUUUGCUGUAUUAUCAAAACAUGUGCCGUAUAAGCUGUAUUGCUGACUUUUAAAACAAAAAAAUUAUCUAAGCAAUUAAAACGUUUUCAAUUUAUUUAUUAUUAUUUUAUAAAAUAAUAAAUUUGAUUGCUAAAAAUGUUGGCCACAACCGACCAACGCAAGCCGCUAUUAGCAAUCUUAUAGUGGUAUAUUGCAUUAAGUUAUAUUGCUUUAGCAUUAUAUUAUAUUAACAUUUUAUAAUAUUUGUUGUUAUAUUGUAUAGUAUUAUAUUAUAAUAAUUUUCAAUAUUAUUAUUUGUAAUAUAGAAUACUUAAAAAAUCAGUUUAAACAUAUUCCACGUACUGGCAAUAAUCAACAAAGUUUCAGAAUAGAGUUAUUAAUUAAUUUAGGAUAACAUUUAGAAAUUAACUUAGAAAAGGUAAAAGAGCUAGUACUAGGAGUAGAAAUUUUUUUUGAAACUAGCAAUAUUAAUACAUUAAGAAGAAAUUUAAAUUAUAUUAAAAAAUUAUUAGCUAAUUUUAAUAAGCAUAUUAGCAUAUUCCCUAGCAAGAAAUAAUAGAAUUAAUAUAGUUAUUAGACAUAAAAACAUCUAACCGAGUAGAAUUAGAAAUUAAAAAUUUUGUCGAAAGCUUAAAAGUUGCAAUAGAAAAUAUUAAAUGUACAGAAAGAGAAUUACAAAUACAACUAGACUCAAUAAAACUAAUAGCAAGUGAAUGAGUUUAGAAAAUCAAUUAAUAGAAAUAUUAGCAUAAUUGAAAAAAAAUACACCAAAUAUUAACCCAAUAGGCUAUUGUUAUAGAGAAUUUAGUCAAUAAAGUAAUAAUAUAUAGCGAGCUCAAGCAAAUACUAUUAUUAAAUUAUUAGUCAGAGUUUGUAAUAAGUUAGAAGACUUAGAAAAAUAAACUUAUUAAAUUAGAAAGUGGCUUUUAAACCUUUAUAAAAAGUAAAGAAACAAUAUCACAUUUAGUGAAGUAAUUAUUUGAUUUAAAACUAAAAGGACAAAAGAAAUUAAUUAUUUUGCUACAUUAUUACUAGUAAUAGAAUAUGUUAUGGGUAGAAUUAGUGAAUACUGUGAAAGAAGAAAAAAAAAGAUGUUUGGGUGGUUAAAACGCUACCACAUAUGUGUGUGUGUGUGUGUGCGCGCGCUCGACAUUGUAGCCUGCUCGUGAUCAAAGCAAUGUUCGAGGAGAUUCGUAAUAGUCAGCUACUUGUAUGCAUAAGGACUGCCAGGGAAAUCGCGAGGAGAAGCCAAGAUCAGGUCUUCACACAGACCUGGUCAGAGGUUGACCAUCGAGUUGUCUAGGAAAACUAAGUAUGAUGCCCACUCCUAGACGGUUACCGAAACAACUUCUCGAUCGCCUUAUAACUGGUGCACGUGCCCAUAACCCAACUAACACGCUCAACCAAUCCACGAGCAUCCACGAACUGAUAGUGAAGCAAUAGAUUCGGCUGCUUAUAAACGCAUUGCAAAUGGAAAUCAAAGGCGACACUUUUGGAACAAAGGGGGAAACUCUGUCUCUUUAAGUCCAGAACUUUUCUCUUAAAUUAUUUAUUCUUGUGGGCAUUAUAAUCUUUACUUCAAAUAGCUACUAUUAAGCCACAGACAUUUGUGACGCAAGUUUUUCUAAAAAAACAUCCGGCGCCCCCUGAUUGUUUAUUAUGAUUGUAGGUGUGGAGAGCACGUGGUCAUCAAAAUCUGUUCCACUGAAACAACUGCAAGCAGUUCUGUGCCCCAUCAAAAUAAAUUCAGUUAUUGACUUGACAAUCUGGUAGCUAUAACGAGCUCGACUAGAUUUCUGCAUCAACAAAAGACAUCAAAUAAAAUUGUAAUUUAGGAAAAUGUAUAUAGAUAUGUCAAAAGUACCGACUUUAAGAUGUAAUUAUCCUAGCUAUUCUAGUUGUAAGAAAAAUAUAAAAAAUGAUAUAAGCACUAUAAACAACCAUACAUGUAUAAUAAUAGAAAAUUCUAUAGGAAAAAAUUCUUUAAAUAUAAUAGCAGAAAAUCUAAAAGGUAAGCACUUAAAAAUGGUAAAAGAAUCUAUAAACGGAAUAAAACUUGUAAAUGUUUUUUAUGUGGUAAAUAAUGACAUAUUAAACCACACUGUCCUAAAAAUAAAAAAGUGAUCAAUCAAUUAAAAAUAUAUAGUUAUAUAUAAUAUAGAAGAACAAAUUUUAGUCAUAGAGAAAAUAUUUAAUAUAGAUAAAUAAUCAAAUAAUGAUAGCAUAUGUAUUCUUAGUAGUAAAUCAGAAGCUAAUUAUAAUUCAGUUUUAAAUUCAAACUCAGAGGUAGAAUUAGAUUUAGAAAUUAAUGUCUUAGGAACUUAUACAUAAGUUUUUGGUAAAAACUGUAUAGUCUGUAAUAAAAAAUUUAAAUUAGGAUAUAGAGAUAUAAGAAACAGAUAAAUUCUUUUGCAAUAGUUGUAAAGAUAAACAACAAGAUGAUAAAACAAUAGAAAUAAAUGGAGUAGGAAGUGAAUUAAUAUAUAUAGAUGUAGAAUUAUUAUUUAAAAAGGAAAUAAUUUAUACUAAAGCAAUGAUAGACACUAGAGCAAACAAAUGUAUUAUACAUGAUAGCUUAGUCCCUGAAGAAAAUAGGAAUAAGUUAGAAAUCCAGUAAAUAUUAUUAGACAAUUUAAUGGUGAAUUAAUGCAAAUAACAGAAUGUAUAAAUAAUAUACUUAUUAGAAUAAAUGGAGAAACACAUGGUAUUACCAUAAACAUUUAUUUCUAACCCGAAACUAGGAUAUAAAGUUAUUUUAAGAUUAAAUUUUAUAUUAGAAAAUAAUGAUAGUAUAUUAAUAACUCCAAAUGGAGUUAAUUUCUUUAAAAAAUCAACAUUCAUUCAAUCUAAAUAUGAAACACACAUCUUCCCAUAUGAAAAGAAUACAUUAAUGCUAGAAAAAGAAGUAGAUAUAUAAUUCUUUAAUUCGUUAUUAGAGGAAGAAAAAGAUAGUAAGGUAGAAAGUAUUGAAGAGCUGGAAGACUAUAAUAAGUUAGAAUUAGAACGUGACAUGCACAUGAAUAAUAAGUUUUCCAUUAAUGAAAUAGAAAUGCUAGAUGAUGAAGACAUAGACAUGUACUUACAAGAUAUUAUGAGUAUAGAAAAACAAGUUGAAUGUUAUGCGAUAAAUGAUCUAAGAUAUAAAGAAACAAGUAGAUGAAUUAGAAAAAAUUAGAUAAUAGGCAACAAACCAAAUAGAAAAGAUAAUAAAGAGAUUUAUAGAUUAGAAAUAAUUAAUUCAAACAUAUCAAUAAAAGCACAAGAUUUAGCCUAUAGUUUAGAAGAUACAAAUGAGUUCAAAAUGUAUAUAAAUAAAUUAUAGAAUUAAAAGUAAUAAGAAAUAGUACAAGUAGACAUAGAAGUCCAGCAUUAAUAGUAAAUAAGCAUAGUGAGCAAAAAAGAGGUAAGAGUAUAAUUGUAAUUAACUAUAAAAGAUUAAACAAUAAUAAUUUAGACAAUAGUUAUAAAAAAAACCCAAUAAAGAUGAGCUAGUAAAUUGUAUACAGAAUACUGGAUACUUUUCUAAAUUUGAUUGUAAAAGUGGUUUUUGGCAAAUAUGACCUCAUAAGAAUCUAUUCAAUGGAUAGCUUUCAGUUGUUCAAAAGAACAUUUCAAAUAGUUAGUCAUGCCAUUCAAAUUAAAAAAUGCACUACAAGUUUUUCAAAUUUAAAUGGAUAAAAUAUUAAAACCAUUUUCAAAAUUUUGUAUAGUUUAUAUAGAUUAUAUUAUUGUCUUUGAUCAUAAUAAAUUUAUGAAUAUAACUCACUUACAUAACAUUUUAGAUAUUUUAGAUUAUUUUAAGAAUAACAAUAUAGUAAUUUCUAAAAAGAAAAUUGAAUUAUUAAAACAAAAAAAAUUAGGACUAACAAUAGACAGAAGAACUAUAGAAUUACAACCACACAUAGUUAGUAAAAUAUUAGAAUUUUCGAAUAAAAGAGAAGAUACUAAAAAAAUACAAAAAUUCUUAGGAUUAUUAAAUUAUAGUAGAAAAUUUAUAACAAAUAUCCGUACAUUAAUAAAACCCUUAACCCUUACAUAAUAAGUUAAGUAAAAAUGGACAUAAAUAUUUUAAUAUUGAAGAUAUAAAAUUAAUAAAAAAACUUAAAAGAAUAUUUAGAAAUCUUAAGCUAUUAGCAUUAUCUAUAGACAAUUAUUAUAAAAUUAUACAAAUUGAUGCAAGUAGUUUAGGAUGAGAAAGAAUAUUAAUAACAAAGCCUAAUAAAGAUAGUCUAAAAGAAAAAGAAGAAAUAACAAUGUAUACAAGUGGAAAAUUCAUAAAAAUAAAAAGUAGAAAAUCAAGUACAUAACCAGAAAUUUUAGGAAUAAUAAGUUCUUUAAAUUCAUUUAAUUUGUAUAUAAAAAAUGAUAUAUUUAUAAUACGAAUAGGUUGUAAUAAUAUUAUUGAAUUUUAUAAAAAAGUACAAAAGAAAAAUUUUGAGAAGAAGAAUUCUUUUAUUAAUAAAAGAUGAACGUAUUUUUUAGACGUAAUAACAUAUAGAGGAUAUAAAGGAAAUUUUGAACACAUAAUAGGUAAAAAUAAUACUUUAGUAAUAUACUUUCGAGACUAAUUAUUCAAUGAUUAUUUUACAGGAAUGGUGUGAUAUAUGAAUUUCGGUCCAGUAACACUUAGACAGUUCCUUUCAAGAACAAGUUUGAAUUUUAUAAGGACUAAUUAUCAAACAGUCGAUAAUACAUCUUAGAUAAUUUGUGGAGUUGUAAUAACUCACAAGAUAAAUUAAAAGUAGUCAAUGCACUCAUGAAUUAUUUUAGACAUAUUAAUGAGCAUAUAGAAAGCAAUCAUUUUGCAUUUUUUAUAUUAGUUAGAGGUAGACAAUCAGGCAUUUAUAGCAAAUAGAGAGAGAUAAUUUAUCUAAUAGUUAAUUAUCUAAAUCCAUAUUGUAGAGGUUUUUAUACAUUUCAUAAAGCAAUAGAAUUUGCUAGACAAAAGAUAGGACUAAAUUAUCAUAUUAGCAAUUUAAUUAACCCUUUAAACAAUGUAUCAAUAUCAUUAGCCAGACAAUGAAUUAACUCUUUAAUCAAUGCAUCAUCAUCAACCAUACAAUUUUGUAACUAUUGUGAAGUCAUGACACGCACCAUUAGAAAGCUCAAUGAAGUAAAUGCAUAUAGACAGAAGAUAAUUGCAUUAGAAAUUGCUGAUGUAGAACUAUUUAGAGAGAAUAUUUUAUUACAAAAUAAAUAUCAUAUUUUACAUAACCAAAAGACCAAAAAAAAACUGAAAACAUUUAAUCAUUACUUUCUACUUGAAGAAGCUUUUAACCAUAUCCUAGUGAAGUAAUUUUUAAGAAUCCAAAAAUUUCUCCCCUCAUUAGUGAUGGUAUAGACAUUGUAAAAGAAAAAAUAUUUUUAACCAUAGAAGAAAUCUUAUAGCAGGAUUUUAUUUCAAUAGCCAAUCAAUUAUUUUAAAAUCAAUUAAAUUUCUUCACUGAGUUAGGACCUAGAUGAUCAGAACUAAGAAAUAUUACCCUCCCAGACAUGAUUUUCCUACAAUUUCCUUUGAUUAUUCUUUAGUCAAAAUCGUAAACAAUUAAAAUUUAUUAUUUAUAAGACAGUCACUACCAUACUAAACAUUAUAUUACAACUUAAUAUAAUGCAUCCUAAUGCUAUACAACAUAGUGCAAUACAACUAAUAUGAUGUGAUAUAAUGCAAUGUGUCAAACGUCCUCCAAAUGAAUACACUUAGUCUGAGGUACGGGGAUUGAGCCAUUGAGGUUAUGCAAGGUGAAAGAAAUAAGAAAUAAGAACUUAAAUAAACUUUAAUUUAUGCGGAUUGAUUCAACUUUUCAUGUAAUUAAAUAUUCCAUUGGAGUUGGAUUAGGGAUAUUAUUUUACUACCUAAUAUAUUUUGACAUAACAUUUCACCAUUAAAGUUUUCUGACAAUUACUUUUUCUUAUUUAAUGUUUUAGUUUUUAUUAUUUUACUACCGAACCAUUAAAAUUAAUAAAAUUCUUAACGUGAAAUAUAAUAAAAGACUAUUUUACCCCCAAAUUACGUAAAUAUAAUUUAACAUAAAUUAAAAAAUAUAAAAUUAAUUAUAUACAAAAAUAAUAUUUUCACUAAUUAAUUAUUUAAUUAUAUAAAAUAACUAAUUGAUAAAAUUAUAAAUAUCAUACCUUAUGAAAUUCCUAAAACAUUAUAUAUAUUGAAAACUCAAGGCCACAGCCCACAGCCAAUGGCUACGGACGUUGCUUUAAGUUCUUUUAUUCGAAGGAUUGGUAAACCACGUACCGCUAUCAUUAUAAUAAUGGGAACAAGCGAGAUUAGGUGUAAUUUUCAUUUGUUUUCGUCCUUAUCAUGACAUAGCAUCAUCUAUUCAUUUUACGUGUUAGCUUAUUACUCUUGUUUGUUUUAAGUUAAAUAAAAUAUUAAUCCCUUUUUUGACAUUUGAGGCGAGUUAUAUAAAUAACAAUCCGUUCUUGACAUUUGAAGCAUACUUGUACCAAGAGCAAAGCUUAAACAUUUCAAUUUUUGGCUUUUUUAUUUUGUUUUUUAUUUGUUAGGUUUUAUAAUCUCAAAAUCAAGUGUAUGUUUGGCAUACAGUGUCACAUAGUAUUAAUUUGUGGGCUCACAUUAGUUGAAAUAAUUCCGUAUUUGACAAUUCAAAUGGAUUGCAUUGAAAUGAAUGUUGUUUCUAAGCAUGAAAAGUAUCUGGGACUUCCAUCUAUGAUUGAGAGGAGAAAUAUUAGUUUCUUCAACGACAUAAAGUUGAGUGCUGAAUAAGCUGUCAAGUUGGCAAAAUAAGUGUUUCUCGAGUGGGGGAAAAGAAAUCCUCAUCAAAGCUGUGGCACAAGCUGUGCCGGCUUAUGCGAUAAGCAUUUUUAGAAUUCCUCAAGGGCUUUGUGACGAUAUACAAAAGGCAGCAGCAAGGUUUUGGUGGGGAUCAUCCGAAACUUAUAAAAGUAUUUAUUGGGUAAGGUGGGAAAGGUUGUGCCGGGCUAAGAUCAGGGGUGGAUUGGGAUUUAGAGAUCUUUCAAGUUUCAAUCAGGCUCUUGUUGCUAAUCAGGGGUGGAGAAUUCUACAUAACCCUGAUUCUUUUAUGACAAAAGUAUUAAAAGCCAAGUACUCCAAACAUACUGACUUUAUGGAGGCAAAAUUGGGGUCAAAUCCCCCCUUUGUAUGGAGAAGGAUAUUAUGGGGAGACAAGUGCUACACCAAGGCCUAAGAUGGAGAAUUGGUAAUGGAAGCCGUGUUUCAGUGUCCAACAGUAAUUGGAUUCUGAGAUAUGAACUUUCAAGCUAUGUCCCUCAUCAAAAUUUAACGGAAGGGGCUGUUGUUGCUGAUUUUAUUGAUGACAAAAAUCAGUGGAAGGAAGAGAAGAUUGAGCAAUGUUUUACCAAAGAGGUUGCACAGAAGAUUUUGAAAAUCCCUCUCCCAAGAACCCCUCAGGAAGACAUAUUGAUUUGGCAGUUCGAUAAGCAUGGCUGUUACUCAGUAAGGAGUUGAUAUCAGGUGGCACUAAAGAUGAAGUUCCCAGAUAAUCCGGAGUGCUCUGACAGCUCAAAAACUCAGUGGAAGGUAAUUUGUUCAAAUGAGAUUUCGGAAAAAAUUAAAAUUUUUAUGUGGAGGGCUGCUCAAAAUUUACUGCCAACAGCUAGCAAUCUAUGGAGGAAAAAUGUGGUGAGGGAUCCAGCCUGCCAAAGAUGUCAUUGUAAAAGUGAGAGUGUUCUUCAUGUCUUAAUAGAGUGCGAGGCUGCUCGCAAAGUCUGGAAAUUGACAGAUUUUUACGAGGAUGUGAAGUUGAUGGCUCAGCAAGAUAUAUUGAGUAUGCUCCAAGGUUUAGCAUCGAGAAGGAAGAAGAAAGAGUUGGAACAGAUUAUUGCCGUAUGUUGGGCCAUUUGGUAUGCGAGGAACCGCUUUAUAUAUGAAGGAAAGCAGGAAGAGCCAAAACUGACAGCAGCAAGAGCAUCAGCUAUUGUGGAGUCAUACAGGAGAAUAAAAAUCCAAAAUGGUCCAGCUCGAUCAAUCCAUCAUCGAAACAGCCAGCAAAUUUGGAAACCUCCUCCAGAUGGGAAGUACAAAGUCAAUGUAGAUGCUGCAAUUCAGAUGUCAGGUCUGAAGGCAGGGUUGGGGGUUGUGAUUGGGAACUCAAAUGGAAAAAUCAUUGCCGCAGCUGUCAAGAGAGUCAGCUAUAAGGGGACAGUGGCGUGCAUGGAGGCUGAAGCAAUUCUUUUUGGCAUUCAAGUUGCCCAACAAGCAGAAUGUUUGCCCAUGAUCAUUGAAUCGGACUCAACAGAAGUGGUGGAGCUAGUUUUGAACAGGAAGGGUAGCAUGACAGAAAUUUCUUGGACAGUUGAAGAAAUUAAACAAAGGCUGAUGAAUCACAAUACAUCUUCAAUCCAGUUUGCUCCAAGGAAGUGUAAUGCCAUUGCCCAUUCUAUAGUUAAAGUGGCUUUUGAUUUUGAGAACCCUGUUAUUUGGCUGGAAGAGUUUCCAGUUCAGAUCAUGCUGUUAUUUUCAAAGUUCAUUAAUUAGAAAGCUUUACUUUCUCAUUAAAAAAAACAAUAAAUAACCAGAGCCCUUGAUGUAAAGAGAGAAAUCAAACUAAGCCACUCAUAUACAGGAGACCAGUCAGCCAUCUUGAUGAAGAACAAGCUCCAUAUUCAAAUCAUGUCUCGAUAAGGUAACAAGACAAAAACUCGAAUGAUACUUGCAUAAAUUAAAUAAAUAAAUAAAACACACACACAUACACACACUCUUCGCAUAUUAUAUUCAGAUCUUAGGUUAUUGGUAUGCCAGCUUCAGAUCACUCUCCACUUUCACAUUGCCAGACCAAAUGAAAAACUAAAUAUUGCCUGAAAUUAUAGUCAAAUUUCCAUCACCAGCCACCGAAAGAGUACAGAAGUUUGACGUAGCUCACAAUUUCUCAAAACUUUCAGGAGCUCGGACAUUCAGAUUCGACGGAACCUAAGAUGAGAAUCUUUUCAUGGAACCUGAAGAACGCACCGAGUAUUUUGCUUCUUCUUCAGAGGUGGGCCAAUACUCCAUGCCUCUGCGAUUUGUAAUCCAUAAGCAUGAUCCAGCUUUGCUUUCGUCAGUAAUAAGCUCAAAAGCACCUAAAGAAAUUUGGAAUAUCAGAUAAUAGUUUCAAAACAAAGGGGCAGGGCAAGGCCAAAAGGUUAAACGACCAUUUGAUCUCAUGUGCUCAUCCCCCCCCUCCCCCCCUCAAAAUGUAUUUUACUAAAAUAUCGUUGGCAGCAAUUGUUUUCUUAUUGUUAAUAAACAAUGCAUCUGAAUAACUGUAUCUGGCAUUCCACUGCACAUCCAAAUAAGUAUAAAGGGCAUAGAGUUGACAAACCUGCAGGGUUCUAAUGAAAUUGCAACCCAGAUUUAUUUGUUCUUCUUCUCAAGAAAAAGUAAUAAAAAGAGAAAGAAAGAGGUAUAUUCACUGUGCAGCUAAAGCUGAGAUAUUUUUUAUACCCAGCAGGAGUAAUUUAAGUUCAUUUUUAAUGAGUCUUUGUUGUUCAGAUUUCAGACAAUUCAAGCCUUACGAUUUUCCACUGCAUAAGGAUGUGGCGCUAGAGACUUCUCAUAGAUUUCGGGAAUAGCAAAGUAACUCAAAACUAUUAGUGCGGCAUCAGAUUUAAACAUUUGAAGAGUAAUACCUUUCACUACCGUAUCCAUAGGUACAAAGCCCCCCAUCAGAUCAAUUAAUUUGGAGCCCGCCUUUA